UUUUUUUUUUUUUUUUUUUUUAAUAAAUAUGUUUUUGUUUUUGAAAUUUAACUAAUAUUUCAACUACCGGAUGAAAUAAGUUUAAAUUUAAAAAACAAAUAGAUAAAAUACAAAUUGGUUACCAAACAUAAAUAGAUUGUUUUUCAUAUCCAAUCCAUGAAUCACAAAGAAUUUUGAGUAAUUAAGUAUAGUACACAUAUGUUAAAAGAUGGUGACUUUUGUGCAAUUAUUUUUUUUGUUAGAGAAAGUAUUGUAAUACAACUUGAGAGUGAAGAUUUAAAUCAUAGACUUCUUGUUCGGUUUUAAGGUACAUAGUUGUGCUAAACUUAUCAUCGACUAUUUUGAGCAUUUUCAUCAUUUAAAAAAAUUACCUUUAAAAAAUCAAUCAUGAAAAAUUUCAAAUUAGGUACAAAAUAAACCGAAAAAGAAAAGAAAAUUAUACUUUCCAAGCUGAGAUUUGGAUUUCAAACAAUUUUGGAUUUAUUUUAAUUGUAACAGUCAAGAUCAAGAUCAAGAAAGGUACAUAGUUUAAGGAAUAUCAUAUCAAAACUAUAUUCUUAAGAUUUGAAAGUGUUGAAUUUUCUUAUAUUCUCUAAAAUAUUUAGUGUAUUUUGUAUAUAUUUAUUAUUUAGAUGUAAUAUAUUUUUUUCUUUAUUUGUUUGAUUUUCUUUCUUCUAUAUAACAAUACUUUAUGGUUGUUUUAGAGUAGGAGAAAAAAGAAAGAAAUACAAUAAUAUUAUUCUUUCUUCCUAAAAAGCAAGUUAAUAUUAGGUGUUCAAGUCAAUCUAAUGUUAUUUUCUUCUCAAUUAAAAUUAAUUUUCACUUUUGGUUUCUUCUUCAUAUAUCGAGCCCACAAGCUUGCUUGCUUUAAAGUAGUUUUGUGUUGGAUGAACUUCUAAAAAUUCUUUUAAGAAAUAUGCCAGUAAAAGAACAUCAUGAAGAAACUCGUUGUUUACACGAAGUUUUUGGAGAAACGUGUUUCGUGGAGUUGAAUUUGUGUUGAUGUUGAUGCAAUGCAGUUCAAUCUCUAGUACUGAUUCCUUAAUUCUCUCUUGGUUUAUAUGUGUAUGCUUGAUUUGAGGAAGCAUAGCAUGUUAUGUUCUUGAAGUCAAAGUCUUAGAAAGCUUGUAUCUUCAAUGAACUUUUGUCUUUUAAACAAAGAGUAGCUUACGGGAAGAGAGGAUCUAGAGAAGGAAGGUUUGAAUAUAUUUUUUUGAAUUGAAUUAUUUAGAUACAAUGCAUUUCCUUUUAUAAAGGGAAAUGUACAGUAGACGAGAGAAACAAAAAAACUAUAUAACAACUAAAUUGAAAAAUGAAACAACUAAACUGUUUAAUAACAAUUUUCUUAGUGAGCAGCCUUAGUAAAAAAAAAUUGACCUCUCAAACUCCUCUAUUGAUAGAGUUCUAGGUGGCUUGAUGAGUUUGAGUUUGGUUGGUCCAUGAACUUAACUCUUUAAGCCAACCAUAUUGGAUUUGUAUCUUAUUAAGAAUUAGUAGUAAAUUAAGUGUAUUUUCACUAAAUUAGACUUCAACCAAAAUCUUAAUAUUCAAUUGAAUCUAAAUAAUUAAUUAGAUACAACGAUGAAUACGAAAGCAUAUGACAUCAUCAAAAUUUGCAAAUUUAAGUCUUCAAUUUCAAUUUGAGACACAUGUCAACUUUUAAUUAGUCAUGAACUUAAUUAUUUGUAAUUUCAUUAUUAAUUUGGUAAAAGAUGUGACAAUUUGUGAUUGAUUCAAAAUUUAAUUUCAUUCAACAUCUAUGCUAGUUUAUGGGUAUCUUUAUUUUUAGAAGUAGUUCAAGACAAAUAAAAAUGAUAUUGCCAUAUCUUAAAAGAUGUAAAAAAAAUGUUAUAAGGCUUAAGAUGUCGAAUCCACUAUUUGAAUCUUAAUCGUACGAUGCAUUGUAUUAAAAUUUAAAACUAGAAACUAAAAGAUAGGACACCUCAGUUUCAAAUAUGAAAAUUAGAGAAAUGGCAAACUAUGGACAAUACCAAAAAAAAGCAAGCGAAUAAAGUGAAGAAUUAUGUUGACGUUAAUCUUUGAACUCAACUUUCUUUGCUUGUUGGAUCCGUUCAGAAACAAAUUUAAGAAGUUAGAAAUUAAAAACUAGAAAUUAGUUAUGAUUAAUUACUAAUUAAUUUUUAGUAUUAUCACUCUAUAAAAGAAGAGUUUUUUUUUUUUUUUGCACUUAUUUGCAUUCUUCAUCUUGUAAUCCUUUCAAGAAGAAAUGAAUGAAUAGCCUUCAAAGGGGAUGUAGGUGCUUUUGCUAAACCACUAUAGCUCCUAAUCCUAGCCUAGUGGAUAGUUGGACGUCUUUUUGGCUCCAAAGUCUUAAAACUUCUGUGUGCAUUGAUUCUUUUGCUUUCUUUUUAUUCUCUCGAAUAUCCUUCAAUGCAUUGUUGAAAAUUGAUGUUGCCGUUGAAAUAGAAUGAGCUUGAAAGAAAUUAGGAAAACAAAAAUUAAUAAUUCUGCAGGAACAAAAGAAUGAAGAAACGAGAAAAAAUAAACUUUACCUUUACUUUUCCGUGAGUCUCACCAAAGAGAGAAAAGAGCGGCCAACUAUCCAUCAUAUAAGAGUAACUUUAAAAGAUAAAUAAAUAAAAUCUUUUGUUUUUCUAAUAAUUGAAGGUUAAAAUAUCAUUUUAGUCUUAGAGUUGGUUCAAUUUUAGUAUGUACUUUCAAAUGUCUAAGUUUAGUUCUUAGACUUUUAAUAAAUAUUAAAUUUAGUCUUUACUAUUAGUUUAUUAUAAUUUAUUUUAAAGAAAUUGUAAAAAAUAACAAAAUAAACAAAACUGAAAGGAAGGUGAAAUAUUUGCUUAAAUCUAAAGAUCAAACCUUUGAAUGUUUUAAAAUUUGGAGGACUAGAGUUGAAACUCAAACUGAAAAGAAGUUGAAAUAUUUUAGAACUGAUAAUGGCCUAGAAUUUCUAGGCAACAAUUUUAACUCUCUUUGUGAUGAGUGUGGAAUUACUAGACACAGGACAAUGGCGUAUACUCCACAAUAGAAGGAAGUUGCAAAAAGAAUGAAUAGAACACUAAUGGAAACUGUUAGAUGUAUGCUAUUAGAAGCCAAACUUUCUGAAGUCUUUUGAGCAGAAGCUUUAGCCACAACAACCUACACCAUUAAUAAAAGUCCUAGUAAUCCUAUUAACCUGAAGACCUCUGAAGAAAUGUGGAGAGGUUCAUCUUCUGAUGUAUCAAAUUUGAAGACCUUCGGAUGCAUUGCUUAUGUACAUACUAAGCAAAGUAAGGUGGAGCCUAGAGCCUUAAAAUGUAUGUUCAUAGGGUAUCCUGAAGGAGUGAAAGGGUAUAAGUGCUGAGAUUUUACUUCAAACGGAAGCUUGAUUAGUAAAGAAGUAGUUUUCAAAGAAAAUGAGUUCUACAUGAACUAUGAAACUAGCAGGCAACACAGAAGUGCAGAAUCAUACUCCUAGUUCCUAUGUUAAAAUUUAUCUAUGUCAUAAAGAUUCUAUAAAUAUUGAUGAUCAACCACAAUCAUCUGAUGCUCCCAGCACCUCAGAAAACAUAACAGAUAGACAAGUUGAAAACCUAGAAGAUUAUCUUUUGACAAGAGAUAUAGAAAGAAGAACCAGACAACCAUCAAGAUAUGCAAGGGCUGAUUGCAUUUUUAAUUACUCUCUAGAAGAUGAUAAUAAAGAAUCUAGCAGCUUUGAAGAAGCAUUAAAUGGUAAUGAAAAGGAUGAAUGACUUGCAAUAAUGAAAGGUGAGAUUAAUACUCUACAUAAGAAUGAAACAUGGGAGUUGACUAUUAGACAUCUUAACAAAGGAGUUAUCCCCUGCAAAUGGGUCUACAAGAAGAAAUUCUCAUGUGAAAAGAAUGAGAAGGUGAAUUCAAAGCGAGACUAGUUGCCAAAGGCUUUAAACAAAAAGAGGGAGUUAACUAUACAUAAAUUUUUUCUCCACUAGUAAAGCACACCUCAAUCAGAGUUCUCCUAGCUAUUGUUGCUUGUGAAGACCUUGAGUUAGAACAGAUGGAUGUCAUUACAACUUUUCUACAUGGAAGCCUAGAAGAAGAUUUAUAUAUGGAACAACCUAAAGACUCUGAAGCUAAUGGAAAAACAGAUCUAAUUUAAAAACUAAGAAAUCCUUAUAUGGAUUGAAGCAAUCACCAAGGUGUUGGUAUAAAAGGUUUGAUGAUUUUAUCAACAAAAUAGGCUAUAUAAGAAGUCUAUAUGAUCCUUAUGUCUACUAUAAGAAGUUAACUAAUGGAAGGUUAAUCUAUCUACUAUUAUAUGUUGAUGACAUGCGACUGGCUAGUAAAAUUUUUACUAAGCUAAAUGAGAUAAAAGAACAAUUGAAGAAUUAGUUUGAAAUGAAGGAUCUAGGGUUAGCUAAAAGGAUCCUAGAAAUGGAAAUCACAAGGCAAAGAAGCGGAAGGAAAUUGCUUCUAUCACAAAAGCAAUAUACUAAUUAAGAAAGUUCUAGCCAAGUUCAAUACGGAUAAUGCUAAGGUAGUGUCUACUCUUAUGGGCUAACAAUUCAAAUUAUCUGCUAAAGACUCUCCUAAAGAAUCAACUAAAAGACAAACUAUGUCUAAGUUCCUUACUCUAGCAACUAGGAACUUGAUGUAUCUAAUAGUUUGUACUAUACCUGAUUUAGCCUACAACUCAAGCCUAGUCAACAGGUACAUGAAAAAUCUUGGGAGAAAUCAUUAUGCAGCUACUCUGAGUGGGUAUUUCGAUACCUAGUGGGAACAGUAAACAGAGGCUUUCUAUAUGCAGCUCAUGAUGAACUAAAUUACUUCUAAAAGGCUAUGUUGAUGCAGAUUUUGCAGGAGAUUGUGAUAAGAGAAGAUCCUUAAUUGGUUUCUCUUUUUCUUUGAGAGGCAAUUUAAUUAGUUGGAAGUCUAAUCUUUAAUCAGUGGUAGCUCUAUCAACUACUAAGGCAGAAUUCAUAGCAGUUUCAGAGGUAGUAAAGGAGGCUAUAUGGCUAAAAGGUUUGAUCAGUGAGCUAGGUUAUGUUCAAGAUGCCAUAGAACUCCUAUGUGACAAUCAAAGUGCAAUCAAUUUAACAAAAACCAGCAGUAUCAUGAAUGGACAAAACAUAUAGAUGUUAAAAUAGUUUUUGUUUGUGAUAUUAUUGAAUAGUGAGCAUAUAAAAGGUCAGCACAGAAGAUAAUGCAGCAGAUUUCCUAACUAAAGCUUUACCUAAAGCUAAGUUCAGUCACGGUCUAAAUCUACUCAAAGUAGUAGAUUUGUAUGUUGAAAAAUAAAUACAUGAAGUGAAGACUAUCAAGGAAGUUCUUCAUUCAAGAGGGAGAAUUUGUUAAUCUUUGAACUCAACUUCUUUUGCUUGUUGGAUCUGUUAAAAAAACAAUUUAAAAAAUUAGACAUUAAAAAAUUACAAAUUAAUUAUGGUUAAUUACUAACUAAUUUUUAGUAGUUUUAUCACUCUAUAAAAGAAGAGUUUCUUGACACUUAUUUGUAUUCUUCAUCUUGUAAUCCUUUCAAGAAGAAAUGAAUUGAUAGCCUUCAAAGAGAAUGUAGGUGCUUUCGUCGAAUCCCUCUUAAAGCUUUGUGUGUGUCGAUCCUUUUGCUUUCUAUCUAUUCACUUGAAUAUGCACUCCAUUGUUAACCAAGAUUGAUGUUGCUCUUGAAAUGGAAGGAUCUUGAAAGAAAUUAGGAAAACAAAAAAUUUACAUGAACAAAAGAAUGAUGAAAUGAAAAACCUUUACUUUUUUUCAUGAGUCCCACCAAAGAGAGUUGUCCAUCAUAUAAUAAAUUAUACGGACUAACUUUAAAAGGUAACUAAAUAAAAUCUUUUGUUUUUCUAAUAAAGAUUUUAUCGGUUGAAGGUUAAAAUAUCAUUUUAGUCUUAGAGUUGGUUCAAUUUUAAUAUUUACUUUGAAAUGUCUAAGUUUAGUUCUUACACUUUUAAUAAAUAUUAAAUUUAGUCUUUACUAUUAGUUUAUUAUAAUUUAUUUUAGAGAAAUUACAAAAAAUAACCAAAUAAACAAAAUAUUUAUAAUCCAUAAAAAAAUAAUUAUUAUAUAAUUUUGUCUUGGGGUGGUUUUUAUUAACGAAGUGUAAAUAGUUUGCUUUUUUAAAAAAAAGGUUAUUUUAUUAAUUUUUAUAUUUUAUUAGCAUUUUCAUUAUAAAAUUUUAAUAUAUAUGUAAAAUCAUUAUGAAUAUUUAAUCAACUUCAAUAAAAACUAUCCCUGAUUGAGGGACUAAACUUAAGAUUUUACUAAAAAUAUAAUAACUUGAACAAAUUUCAAAAUAAAUAAAUUAAAAUAGUAUUUUAACCUAUCCUAUAAUAAUAGUGUGAGAGGAUUAAUGUUAUAAUAAAAUUAACACAUUUUAAUAGAUUUCCAUUAGAUUUUGUUUUGAUAAAAUAAAAAGUAGAGAGAAUGAAUAACAAACACAAAAAGGGCAAAACAAAAAAAGCCAAAGUCUUACGUUUCAUUUUAAUAAAAUUAAAAGUUGAAAAUUGGAAACUUUCCAAUAUUCAAAUUACGCCAACCCUCUAUUAGUUAUAAUUAUAAUUAUUAAAACAAUGGUGAGAAGAGAAUACUAAUUCAAUACCUUUUUUUUUUUUUUUAACUAACUGCAUAAAAUAUUUUUAUUCAAACUAUUUCUUUCUUUUUGUAAUAAAGCUGCUUUAUAAUAAACUUUCAAAAUAUUUAAAAUCCUAUUUAAUUUUUUCAAAGUUGCUUAUUCUCAAAAUUAAAUACAUACAUUUAAGUCAAACGUGCUCUUCCUUUGUAAAAUUAUUGUUUUGAAAUGAUUUUAAUAGAUUCACUAACCAUACAAAAGUAGUUUUUUUUUUCUUAAACCACUCUAGACAAUCCACAAAUCAAUUCCAAACAUCUAGAUUGUCUAUUCAAUUUUAAUUUUUCAUAAAAUAUGGCAAAAUUGUGACACAAUUUUAUUAAUUGUCUGUCAAUAAUAGUACUCGUAGUUAUCCAUAUUUUAUUAUAAAUAUUUUAAUUCAUAUGUUAUAUUGAAAAAUCCUUCUAAAAAUAUUUAAAUCUACUUGUAAUACAUUAAAUAAUAGUGUAUGACAGAUAAUAUUUUAUAAUUAUUUUUGUUUAUUUUACUAUAUUUAUAAAUAGACAUUUCUAAAAUUAUAUAAGAUGUUUGACAAAAUUAGAAAUUAAGCAAAUGGACAUCUAAUUGAAAGUAAUUAAAAAAGAAAAACGUUUUAAAGUUUUUAGUCUUUCUAGGUAUUGUCAAUGAGAAGAUUCUUAGGUAUGGACAGCUGCAAAUUACAUAAUAACCUUUAACUUUCCUCUUCCUUCUAAAAAUGAAAGAAAGAAAGAAAGAAAGAAUACACUUAUCCUAUCCUUAUCAUUUCUAGACAAUCCCAGCAAGCAACCGACACACUUUUUAAUUAGUUUUUUGGUUCCAUUCCUGUGAGGCUGUGGCUUGUUCGAAUCACCCAAAAAAAUUCACCCACCCAAGUCAACAAAAUCAUCAAAUUCCUCUCAUCUUCCUCUCUCAAGUUUUUCAUUUCUUUUUUCUUCGCCAAACAACCAUCUUCUGAAAGAAUUUUCUUCUGCCCAUCUAAAUAUAUUCACAAAUGAAGCAGCACAAAGAAGAAAGCUAGAAGAAUCCAAGAGGGUUUAUCAUUUGAGUUCUUGGUGGGUCCUUACUGACCCCAUCGCCCCCCUUUUGUCAUUACUGUUUGAGAGUAUUAAAAAAGGAUAAGCACUCAAAAAACUACUUCAAAUCAUUUUGCUUUUGGCAGUCCCCUGUCCAAGAGCAACAAGACACAACUCCUUAGAGGGCUUUGGCUAAAGCACUUCUGUAAAAAAAAAAGUUCUAAGUUUUGAGUUUUGUUUCAUAUAAAGUUCACCUUGUUGUGACUUUUCUUUCGUUUCUCAUCAUUCAAUCAUACAUCCUCUAUUUAUUCAUAGUUCUUCUGGAGAAAAAGGAAAAAAAAUGGACCUCCAUGAAUGGGAAAUUCUAUCAGACGAUGGGUUGCAUGAUUACAAAGAUGAUCAAAAGAAGAUUGUUUCCUCUAAGAGACGUUCAGGUUCUGAUGCUAAGAUUGUGUUUGAUAUGAACUACUUCCUUUGUCCAUCAAUGGAUUCUUCUUCCAAGCAGCACAUCAGCCAACCGUCUCCUUCAAGAUUGGUUAAACAGCCGAUUCCUGUUCAUCUUCAAUUGGAUUCACCAAUUAUCAGAAUCCCAGAUGAUGAUUCACUAGCACUGAAGGAAAAAGAAAAAGAAAAGGAGUCCAUCGUGAUCGGUGUUGUGCCAUCAGCCAUGAGUGAAAAGGAUCAGAAAGGAGCUGGGGAAGCAGAUCAAGAUACUGUUACUCAAGUUUUCUUCAAGAAAAUGAAGGAAAAUGAAUUCGUCGACAUGAAAAUAGACUCACCCAGAUCCAGUAACAAAGGAACAAAGCCUCAAAUUGAUGUUGGGCAUUAUCAGUUUGAUGAUGGGGGUGAAUCAAAAGAGAACAUUACAAACUCCCCUAGAAUGAACUUGAUGAGCCAGAAAAGCAACAAAGAGAUUGAUGCAAACAAAGAUGAGAUGAAUUGGGAUGGAUCCGUGGGUGGGUUAAACAUAUUAAAGUGGAGUUUAAAUGGGAUUGGAGCCAUUUGCUCCUUCGGUGUUGCAGCUGCCACUAUUUGUAUUCUGUUUCAUGGAGGCAACCAACACAAGCUGAGAAUCCAGAUCUAUACCCAUGAUAAGGUCAGGUCAAAACUAUUAUGUAAUAUUACCUCAAAUUGUAAUAAACAAGCAACUUUUUCUAGAGAAUUAACUAUUAAGUGAAAAUGUUCAGUUAUGUAACCCAUAAGCUGGAGUAAAGCUUAUUUUCGUAGCAUUUGUUGCAGAAAUUAAAGCAAGCAGUUCAGCAAGCCACUAGAUUAAAUGAAGCUAUCUCAGCAGCAAGAGGACUUCCACAGACAAGAGCUCAUAUAACCUGUGGUGGACACUAUGAUGGGAUCUAAGGAAGCUAAGAGUUCGCGCUGCCUUGAAGACGAACUCUAACACUAGAGGAUGAAUUGAGGUGGAUAUGCCAAAGCCCAGUUCUAUUUUUCUAUGCAAAGUUUACCAUCUCUGUACAUAGAGAUUAUAGCUUUAAGAACAAAAAUAGGUUCAGGAGUCCAACCUGGUUUCAUACUGGACGGAUUCCUAGUCUAAGCCAAUACCCAGUGUUGUUCAACUAUGAAUUUCAAAGGUUUGUAUGAUUUUAUUGUGUCAUCCAUAAUGGUCAGUGUGGAGAAGUAUAAUAUUUUACACAAUAUAUAUUUGAAAUGAAAGAGAUUAUUUUAGAAAAACUUGUGGAAGCCUCAAUACUUGAUGGUUAGAAUGCCAUUUUAGUCCGUAUACAAUAACUCCUCUGACAAGGUCUCAAGAUUAUAACCUUUGUCUUACUCUAAUAAAUGUAAACAACAAAAAAGUCUUCAGCAUUAAAAAAUAAUACUUAAUGUUAAAGUAUUGAGAUUUUAAAAAAAACUUGCAAGUCUUUAGCAUUAAAGAAUGCCUUGAAUCUUAAUUUACCUUCAAACCCUUCAAAACCCUUUUUCUUUGAUUCCUGACCGACUGGAAGCACCUCAAUAGAAUGAGCAAUUUCCACCCUUUAUCAUUUAGAACCAAAAAGAAUAAACAAUUACAAGAUCAGAGAUUCUCUUGAACAUAAGGGUGCUUGCCGUGUGAAAGAUAAUCAAAUUAGCUACCAGGAAAGAAGGAUGUUGCUUUUAUCAUAGCUUUGACCAUCUUGUUUAAAUGUGUGAAUCUUAAUUUACCUUCAAACCCUUCUAAGCCUUUUUUUCUUAGAUUCCUGGCUGUCUGGGAAACACCUCAAUCAAAAGAGCAAUUUCAAUUUUUUAGAAGCGAGAAGAGAACAAAUGACAGGACCAAAAAUUCUCUUGAACAUCAAGGCAUUUUCCCUGGGAAAGAAAAUCGAAUUACAGCCAAGUUAAGCUUAGCUACCAGACAAGAAAGAUGCAUUUUUUAUUAUUCCUUGGCCCAUUUAGUUCAUGCGUUGUUCUGCAGUGUUCAAGCAAACUUACCCUAUUCUACCACUAAUUAAUGUUGCUUACAUACAAGGCAAAACCAUUGAAGAACCAAGUUCAGGCCAAAAUAAUGAAAUUGAAUUGAGAGAGAGUGACCCACUAAAUAAUAGUACAGAACAAGCAAAAUCUAAAAUAGAAUUCCUCUCUAUUUCUUUUCCUAGAUUGGAACAGCAAACAAUAAUGCGAAAUCGAUCAGAUCAAAUAAUUCAAUAGAGAAAAAACUUAAGGGAAGAAACCAGGAGUACAAUGAAAGGGAAAGAGAUUCAUGAGUCAUGACCCACUUCAGAAAGUGAAAGAUCAAUGGUGGGAUUUGAACUAUUCACAAAAUAUCAAACCUCCCCAUUUGUAUUAUUGACAAAAUACAUUGUCUUAAACAUCAAACAAUGCAAACCCUUUACGUAAUCAACCACAUAUUUCACAAUCAGAUUGCGAAAAACGAUUAAAUCCCUAAAUCAAAAUCCAAUUACAGAAUAUCAUUUUCACAGAUCUAAAAAGCUUUGUUUAAUCACUAUUUAGCCUUAAAAAUUCGCAACAGCAUCAAAACCUGCAUCCAACACUCCCAGAUUCACUUAAAAAGGAGAAAAAGAACACCCAAUAUUCGAAAAGGCUAACAAAACCCAGAUCAGAUGCCUUAUCAAAAGAGCUAAAAAAGACGAAUAAACUGCAAAAGAUAAGGGGGUAGGCAGAGAAAUGUUCGAAUCUAUCUAGGAGAGGAACGAAAGGAAAAAGCGUUCGACUCCCUCAAACGGAUUCGGCGACGGAAUAAUAUUAUAUAAUCCGAUGAAUUGAUGUAAGCCCUUGUCUGAACCAAAUGGUGUGGAAAAAUAAUUAGCACCUUCUGGUUAUUCGAAAGGCUAUGCAGAAACCAAAUCCAUUAGCAGUUUCAUAUUUGCUUUCCCCCAAAUCUAAACAACGAAUACCAUAAGCAACACUAGAAGAAAAAAAGAUAUUGCAGAAAUUGAAAUGAAAAUACAAAAUGUGAGAGAAAAAGAGCUAAAAUUGGUUGUUUGAUUAGGAAAGUUUUAGGUGAAUCCACAACGAUUAAAGAAAGGGGGGCGGGAACAUUUUAAUAGCGACAUUCGAUUUAGGGUUUCUUUUUAGGGUUUGGGAUUUUCUGAAUCGGGCCUGAGUGUUAAAUAUGGGCUGGGCCUAGAUCCUAACAAAUGAAAUUACCAUAUUACCUUACCCUUCAUUUGGAGUGCCACAAAAUAAAAACAUUUUCUCCUUAAAAGAAAUAAACAGAAACAUUUUCCUUUUUAAUCUUUCUCUCUCUCCCAGAAGUUGGAAGGAUAGAUAAAUUCAUUAUAUGAAAGGUUUAUGACGAUGUAUACUAUCUAUAAAAGAAGCAGUGAAGAAAGAAUUUUAGAUAGACAUUGGGCAAUGGCCAUAUUGUUGGUAAUUUUUGUAUCACCUUUUUUGUUGAUGAGAUGUGCUUUAAGGCUAUAUGUCCGCUAGAUGUCCGUUCAAAAGAAAAUAAAAGAAAUAGUGGUUAUCAUUCUUAUUUUCCAAAUUUUAGAUCAAGCCCUUGCAAUUGGUUUUGGCAUCUAACAUGCACUUGCUUCCUUUCACGUAUGUUUCAAAUGUAUGUAAAAAAAAAUUGAUCUUAAGUUAAUAUUAAGUAGUCUUCUCCUUAAGAUAUCUGAUCUUACCUUUUUGGAUGGUGAAAUAGAUAUUAGAACAAUUGUUCACGAAAAUUAUGUAACGACUCUUAUGGAGUCAUUUUUCUUUGACAAGUUACUUGGAGCUCACAAAAAUCAUUGUUAGGUAUUACUAAAGCUCUUGAGGUUGACAUUUUACUACUUUGUGUCAACAUUGACGACAAAUUUCUUUGGAGCCUUUUGUUUGAAAAUUCUAGAUUUGUAAAUGAAGUACUAGAUAUAUUCAUUUAUGUGGUUAUAUCAAACUUCUUUUGGUCUAAUCACUUAUGACUUAACAACUUAUGCUCAACAUUUUAGACACUUGGUUAUAUGGCUCGAAGAACUCCCUCAUGUUCAACUUUUACUAUUCUUUUUCUUUCUUUCUUUCUUUUACCUUCUUUAUACACUAAAUAAAAAGAGUUUAGAUGUUGAAGUUAAGAUGACUCAAACCAACUGAAUAAAAUAGCUCAAAUAACUCCAAUGGAAACUAUGCAUCCUGAUAGGAAGUUUCCUAGACAAUAUUAGUUUGAAUUUGACUCUCAAAUGAUUGACAAAUUUAGGUGACUCUCAAAUGAUUGUGAACUUUUUAAACAUUUAAUAAGCCCUUCAACUUCAAGUCAAAGACCUAUUUGAUACCUUGACACUUUGGGACACAAAUUGAAAGAUCAAGGAUUAUAGUACACAAAGUUUGUUCAAACCUCAACUUUAAACUAUUAGUUUAAUCAGAAUGAUCCAACUUUCUGGAGAAGAUUAAUUUACGAGAAUUAAGUAAAAAAAAUGUAUCAAACAAAUGAUAGCCCUCUUUAAAAAAAGUGCUUACAUUUGUAUCACAUAUGAUGAUCACCAUGGUCCUUCAAAUCUAUAUCCUGGCAAAUCAUUCAGAAAAAGUGAAAUAAAUUUACAAGUGAUCAUUUAAAAUUGUAAUCAGAUUUACAUAUAUGGCUUGUUUUUCAGAUACCAUGUAUAACUUGAAACUAUUUUAUGAGAAGCAAUGUUAAUAUUUAAAGAUGCCAAGAGCAAUCUCAGGAAUUUAGACAGAGAACAAGUAAUUAAUUGGUUAUCUUCCUGUGAAGAUGGUUAAACUUGAGGCUUAGCAGCUUCUACCAUUUCCACCACAAGAGUCUUGACAUCCCUAAAAAGGAGGAAGAAAAACAGUGAGCAGAAAUGCAGCACAGAAAAUGGCUUAAAUUUCCAAAUGGACGAGAUGUGCAUGAAGUUUUUUACCCCAUUUGGUAACUAUUUGGCUUUUAGUUUUUUUGUUUUUGAAAAUUAACUCUACAAACCCCACUUUCAUUCCUUAGUUUCAACUUUUGUUGGUUACACUACCUUUCAUGGGUUGUACCACCUUUCAUGGGUUGUUUUUAAAAUCAAAGUCAAAUUUUGAAAUCUAAAAAAAUAUAUAUAUAGUUUUUAGAAAAAAAUUGGCUAAGGUGUCAGCUUUGUACUUAAAAAUGCAUGCCAAUGUAAGAAUAUGAGUGGAAACAAACAUGAUUUUCAAAAACCAAAACAAAGGUCGGUCUAAUUUGGUAAGCAUUUUGUUUUUUGUUUUUAAAAAUUAGGCCUACAAAAAACUCUUCUACUUCUAAAUCUCUUGCCUUUAUAUGAAAACCUUUUAUUGGUUGAAUUUCGUCGCUUAAAAGAUGUAUGGCUAGAUGACAGCGUUCUUGUGACUCUGACCAAACAGGGCUACUAUUAUGGUUAUAAACUGGAACUGUGCUUUUAUUUUACUUUAUUAGGUAUGAGCAUUUUGGCUCUGAGUUCCAUCAUUAUUUCUACUUUUUAUAUUAUAAUUUAUAGUUGAAUGUAGGGUGUUUUUGUGUUGGGAUUAAGUGUUUUUGGAGUAAGAUUAUGGACGAUUGAUUGUUUGGUUUUUUAUUAAUUUUCUAACUUGGCCUUGGGUAGGUUUUGAAUUUCACUUAUUGAGUUAAGGAUUGAACCUGAUAAAAUCGAAUAUUCCCUAGAAUAAAAAGAAACAGUUAUUUCAAUAGAAGCAACUGAUCAACAAAACUCGCAAUUAAGGAUAAGAAGUCUCACUUUCUACUUUCUGCUCUUCUUGGAAAAGGCACACGAAGCUUAAAUGAAGUCCCUCGAUAAUCAGCCUAAAUGAACAAAAGAAGAAAGGAAAUUAAGUAAGUUAUACAAAUAAAACAAGAUAUGCCCUUUAGAAAGUAGAACUGAAGUCAAUACAUCCUUUGUAAAGUAUAUAUCACCGGCAAAUCUUAAUUUAAUAGCUCGAUAGAUUGGAAGUAAAUUCAUUGAAUAUAACAUUAGCAUAAAUGCCAGUCCGCGUCCAAUUAUCCAUAUCGCCAUUUCCUCCGGUCAAGAUUAAUGGUCCACAAUAUCAUGAUCAGGUAUGAGCCGACUAUUGCUAACCUAACACGUAAGCUUUUGACGUAAUAAAUUACUAAUUACCCUAACAUGUUCCGACAUAUUUUAGAAAAGAAUUAGAGAACUUAAAUAAUUAACUUUUUGUGAAAUAAUACAAGUCAACAAGGUCUAAUAAAUAAUUUAAUUAAUAGUAACAAUACCUUAACAUUAAAACCAAGGCUAUCCAAAUCCAGCAUGAUGGCAGAAUCAACCUGCAGAUAGAAUAGAAGCACAGUCCCACAGGAUCCCUCAUUAAUAUAUGUACAUAUUAAUUAUAUACAGAAAAGGCAUCAGAAAAAGAGCAGGGUGGUUAUAAAACUGUAUUUUAAGAAACUGAAUAUUCUCACUCAUAAUCGAUACAGCUGUGGUUAUUUAUAGACUACACUUGUAACAAACCCGUAACAAACUAACCACUUUAAGAUGAGUAAGGGUAAUUUAGUAAAAUAUUUAAUUACUCAAUUACUCUAAUAGGUGGGGCAUCCUCUCUCUCUCUCUAGAUAAAACUAUACUUUGAUAAGAUACAAUUUCAUUCAUGGUAUGAAAUUGUGAAAAGCAGUAAAACAGACACCAAGUUAGGUGGGAAUUCGAAAGAGGAGAAAAACCACUGCCUAACUUUCUUAUCAAUUUAUCAUAUUAACAAAAGAUCGGGCAAAAUAAACUCACAACAAUCUUAUGAUAAAAAAGAAAGGAAAUUAGGGUAAAUCCUUCAUUGGACCAGGCACACUAAUUUUAAGGCUCCCCUCAAGUUGUGACGUAGAUGUGAAUGAGACUCAACUUGCUAACACGAGUCAAAGCUUUGUCUGAGAAGCCACUUAGUAAAAACAUUAGCAACCUGUUGGCUCGAAGGGAUGUAAGGAAUGCAUAUGCUACCGUUGUCCAGUCUUUCUUUAAUGAAGUGUUGAUCAAUUUUCACAUGUUUAGUUUUAUCAUGUUGAACUGGAUUUUUGGCAAUGCUAAUAGUUACCUUAUUAUCAUAUAAUAAUUUCAUUAGCAUCUCACAGUCUUGAUGAAGGUCAGAUAAAACUUUCUGAAGCCAAAUUUCUUCACAUAUCCUCGAACUCAUGGCCCGGUACUCAGCUUCAGGACUGCUUCUGGCCACAACCCAUUGCUUCUUACUCCUCCAUGUUAUGAGAUUUCCCCAUACAACGGUACAGGAGCUGGAGAUGGAUUUCCUAUCAACAAUAAACCCUACCUAGUCAGAAUCAGUAUAGGACUUAACAGCUCUCCGUUAGUCUUCCUGGACAUCGACCCUUUACCAGGAGUUGUUUUUAAGUACCUUAGGAUUCUAUUAACUGCCUCCAUGUGUUCCUCACAAGGAGCCUGCAUGAACUGGUUAAUGAUAGUCACAUCAAGGAGAUAUCCAAUCUAGUUUGUGACAAGCAAAUCAACUUUCCCACAAGGCACCAAUAUUUUUCUCUCUCAACUAGAACUUUAUCACCUGAAUUUUCUAGUUUACAGUUGAAUUCAAUAGGAGUAUCAACAAAACGACAUCCCAGCAUACUUGUCUCAGCCAACAAAUCAAGGAUAUACUUCCUCUGAGAUACGGAGCUACCUUCUUUUGAUCUAGCUACCUCCACCCAAGGAAAUAUUUCAAAUUCCCUAAGCCUUUAAUUUCAAACUCAUCACCCAUCUUCUUUCUCAUUGGAUGAUUUCAGCGGGGUCAUCCUCAAAUAAAACAAUGUCAUCAACAUAAACAAUCAACACGGCAAUCCUCCCAGUCUUGGAGACUUUUGUAAACAAGGUUUGAUAUGAGUGCCCCUUGUACCCUUGGGACUUUGACAAAUGUAGUAAAUCUAUCAAACCAUGCUCUUGGUGACUGUUUUAGCCCAUACAAUGAUUCUGAAGUUUACAAACUCAAUGACCAAACUGGUUAAAAUCUAACCGAAAUUACAAAAGAAUGAGAAAUCCUAGCAAGAAAACUACAAAAGGUCUUUCCAAUUGGAAAAUGGAAAGGAGUGUAAAAAAGCUAUGGUGAUGGUCAUGGAAUAAGGGUCUAACACCAAGCGAAGUAAUAGCUAUUUUGUAGUUAUGGGGUCGGUUACUAAAAUUGAAAUGGUUAAAAUCUUAAAACUGAUAUAAAAGUAUAUCAGGGUAUAAAUUAUUCACAAAAGCUACCCAAGUACUUGGUCCAAUUUAGACCCAGUCACUCACUCCCGAUCAUAUAGCCCAGAAUCUGAUAAAAAAACUAAACCAAUAAAAUAUUAAAUCAUUUCACGUAAAGAUGAAUUAUACAAAACAUUUAUCUAGAAAAUAUUAAUUUUACCGGAAUGGAUGUCCAGUGUCUCACAAUGUUCUUUGUAUCUUCAGCAUGAUCUCUAUUCAUGUGAGACUAAAGAUUAAGAGGGAAAAAAACUGAUUCAGAAAAUAGGUUAUUCACAGUUAAAAAAUAUGUUCAAAUAAUAAGCAAGAUCUUAAGAUUAUGUUAUCACCGUCACAGGCUUUGCAAAUUGAGCUAUUGGAUCAACUUGUGCUGCCAUGUACUCUUCACUGCUUAGUUCUUGGAUAAAAAGGUAGAAAAUUAAGAAGUCAGCUUGACAAGAACAAGCCUGAUAUAAAGAAUAAGACAGUUUAGAGUUAAACAGAAGGUGAAAGACCAGCUUCAAGUUCCCUCUUUGUUUUUGUUUAUGACGUAAGAUAUGACCAAACCUUUAUGUGCAAAAGCAAACGAAAAGGGAAAUCUCAAAAAAGACAAACCUCCUGAACCCAAAGAAGCUGUUGCAAUCCCAGACACGUAUCGUAUCACUUUUGGUUUGAUAUACACAAAGUUGAAGUCGCCAAAGUCAACCUUCACAUAGAGAGGAAAUAUUCACUCAUCUUUUAUGCAUAAAUUGAAGAAACCUUCAAUGAUAAACUUAAGUAUUCUGAGGAUUGGUUACUACCCAAAAUGCAUUUGGAUGCUUGGACAAGUAUGCAGCACGAACAGCAGGUCUAUCCUCUUCUGAAACCUAAAUUGCGAAGAGCAUAAUUCAGAUUGCCAUGCCAUAACAUUCUAACAAUAACAGUUAUCAUAUAAGACACAAGAACGAGAAACAUAUCUAUCCCUUCUGAUGAUUGAAUACAGGCAAAGAGAUAGACUGACACAUGAAAAGAAGAAAUAAAUAGUGAACAUAAGCUAUAUAUCUUACAGCCACAGCAUCACCAUGAAGAGUGACCACUAAAGUUCCCCUAUCCUCGGGUUCUUUUGCCACAAGCAAUGAGCAUUUUGGAUUAGUUUCCAAGUUCUACACAGAAAAGAAACACCAAACUUACAAAUGAUUAACAAUCACUUGACACACAAAAUUUUCAAUUGCUACCAAAAUUCUGGACUAGGAGCAUAAAGAUGAAUGAUACCUUAGCGUGCUCUGCUAGACUGCUUACAGCAAGUAUAGGAGUACCAUCAGCAUCGCAUGCAAAGUCGACAAAAGAUCCAGACGGAUAACCUUCAAAGCUCUGCAAAGGUGCAUACAUUAUUACUAAGAACUAAAAAACCAACCAAAAUGCAAAUGACUAAUGGAGAAAUCAGAUCUACACAAGUAGUCAAAGUCACAUGUUCAUAAUUAUGCAGCAAAUUCCAAAGUCACUAAAGACAAGAGGACUAAAGAUCAAAAGAGAGUGAAAACCCGGGAAAAGGUGGAGAGCGUCCCGCGCACACUCUGAUCCAGCAAUGUUCGAAUCUCUUCAACUGGCGAAAGCCGAGCCGCCUUUUCCUAAAACACCAUCAUUCACACACAGCAAUAACUUGAUAAACACACAAAACACAACAAAUAACUCCGCACAAUCUUCAAAUCUCGAGAUUGAAAAUAUAAGCAUAAUCAAACUACCACUGGGGAAACAUCAAAGAUAAUAUCAAAAGAAAGAAAUACCUGAUGAGCUUGAAUCAACUUCGAUACAUCAAUGUCGUCGCUAUUAGCAUAGCCAGACGGAGCCUAAUAACAAAAAUGAAAACAAAAGGAAAGGAAAGAUGGUAAAUCUAUUGCCAAUGAUUCAAAUUUGUUCCCGCAGGAAUGGAAUCAACAAGAAACAAGAAAUUAAACAGCGAAUUGAUUGCUGGAAAAAAAAGAGAGAAGGAAGUACCUGAGAAGUGGAGUCGGUUGAAGCAGCCAUAGAAAGCGGAAGUGGAAGACGAAGACGAAGAUUGAACGAAGAGGUCAAAGACCGAGAAAAGUGAAAGGAGAUUCGGCCAUUUAAGGCAGUUGGAGAAGGAAUUCGGAAGGUUAAGGUAGGUGGCGUCACCGUCGCCAUUGUUCACCGGACUCCCUCGUCCGCCGGCUCAAGCAACUCCACGCGGCUUGAUUUCCAAAAUUGAAGAUUUACCAAAUAAAAGAAAAUAAUAAUAUUUUCAUUUUAUAUUAUGAAAAAAUAAACAAAUAAAAAUAUAGAAUUUAUGUGUUGAAACUUCCAUCUAUGUCUCCAAUUUUUCAUGGUUUUUGUAGAUAUUUGAUUUUUAAGUUCAAAUUUACGAUAGAUUUAAGGGUGUUUUUUUUGCAAAUAUAUUGUAAUAAAUGAUUAGGUAAAGAUUUUAACACGAAACUUCUUGUCCACAUGAACAUAUGUUGGCAGGUGUCUAUUAUGAAUAGAAUUAGAAACUAUUAUAUUUUAUAGAUAUUUUUAAAUGUUUUACCAUUUCCAAUAAUAUUCAUAAUUUUGGUAAGUGAAUUAAUAUUUCUAGUUCAGUAUAAAAAUUAUGAAAUAGAGAAAAUAAGUUUCACCUUAGAAGAAAUGGUAAAAUAGACUAAAUAUUUAUAUUUUAUAAAAAAAUAAAUUUUUUAAAACUUCUAAAUAAUACACCUGCUUACUUAUUUGAAAAUAAUAAAAUUUAUAUUUUUAAUUUAUAUUUCUUUUUUAAAAUUAUUUUUAUAUUAAAAAACAUUUUUUUAGCACAAUAAUUACGGAGUGGAGAGGUUAUGUCAACCUGUGUUUUUUCUUUUUUCUUUUUUUUGCAAAUACGCUGAAUUGCUAAAAGAGAGAGGGACGUCAUGACUCAAAGUCAAGACACACAGAAAAAAAGAAAAAACAACAGCACACUAGGGUAGAAGUGUAAGAUACGGGUAGAAUCCGAUAACUCAAACUACCUAACUCAUAUUAUAUAGGUUGGGUUGGAUUAAGGUUAAAAUGUAGGUUGAGUUGGGUUUAGGGCAAAACAAAGAAGUGAGAGAAUAUAAUAUACAAUUUAAGCUUCCUAACUACUAAUAUGUCUAUUACAAAUUGCAACACAUUGAUCUCUAUAUUCCAAAAUUUGGUAAAACCACCAACAAAAGUGGGGCAGAAUCUCAAUCUCUCUUUGUUCAAACCACCAAGCCAUAAAUUAAAUGCCUACAAAAUUUGGCAUUUCCAAGCUCCAUAGUUUUGUAUAGUUUCCCAUAAAAUUGGCACAUGCCCUUAACAAUGCAAACGUGAGAACGACAAUGGCAUAAAACAAACAAAAUCAAAUCACCUUGUCGUGUAAUCGAAGGAUUUAUUGUCCCAAUUUUAAAACAUUUUCCUUACUUUUUUCACCUUAGCUUGGUGGACUUGCUAAACUACACUCUUUCUAAGAACAAACCUCUGGAAGGAUUCGAGGAAGCAAAACAAAGAAGGGAGAUGGAGGACUUUAGAGAAAGAAAAGACCGGCGAGAGAGAAGAUGGAGAAGGAUGGGUGUGGAGUUGUAAGGGCGAGAGAUUCUUGGACGAGGGAGAGAAGAUGGAGAAGAACCGACGUGAAGUUGUGGGAGGAGUAAGAAACGGUGCCACGUGGAGUUGAGAGGGGGAGGGAUCCUUCGACAAGGGAGAGAAGAUUUAGAAGAACUGGCGUGGAGUUGGAGAAGUAGGGAACGGUGCUACAUGGAGUCGGGAAGAUUAGGGAAUAAUGUCGCAUAGAGUUAGGGAUGGGUAGAGAAUAGUAAUAACCCUAAUUCCUCAAUCCUUGGGCAAACAUCUCCAUAAGGUUUUGCUAAGUUCGAGAGACAUAUCAUCAAUAAUUACCAUUUCACAAGUCACCAUUGUUGAUCCUUAUAUUACCAUUAUUAAACUCAUAAAUAAUAUAUUUAUUUUUAUAAAUUGUUUAAUUGGUAUUUCUAAGGAUAAGUUUAUGGUGGUUUUUAAUCUUCCCUCUCUCUUUUUUCUUUUCCAUUUAGCACAUUUAUAAUUAAUAUUGAAAUGUUAGUUGUCAUACAUUUGCACAGAGUUGUUUUCACUAACUAUAAAAAGUGUGAACAUUGACUAUAAAAUAUUUUCUUUGUUUGCGUUCAUAUAUAUACACACAUAUAUUAAAGGCUAAUGCUUCGUCUUAUGUUCUGUCGCUCAAGCCAAAUUUCCUCUUUCCUGAUGAAUGUACCUUACUAGCUUCUUAAGGGAUUCGGACUUGGUUGGAACCUUGUGAAGAACCAAGCAACAUAACGUUAUGGAGUAGUUCUAAAGGAAAUGAUUAAUGGUGUAGCCAAGGUUAAUGGGGAAUAACAUGAGAGGCUAGUCUUGGAUUACAAAAAAUUGAUAGUUAUUACUCCUUAAUUUUCUUAUAGAAUGGUUUUCUUUUAAGUGUUAAGUACUAUGAGAAGUUAAGUUGUUUAUUGUUCUUUGUUAGGUGGGAAGAAGAAAGGAAAUUUAGCUAAGUAUGACAGGUGUAGUUGGUAGCCAAAAAAGAAAGAAGGUUUGAUGAUUGAAAAUUGACUAAGUGUUGAGAGGUUAUUUUGUAAAGGAUUAUGCGUUUUGAUGAAGGCCUAGGCGAGAAGAAGAUGUGGCAUGAAGAAUCUCUAAGAGACAAGGUUGGGUGUGGAAGUUGCUUGGCUUUGGACGAUAAGGCUAGGCGAGAUAACCUCUUUUAGAGGUUAUCUAGGUGCUGAAGGCUAGUAGGAGACAUGAUUUGUUAUGUGUGGUUCGUGAAUGUGAGCUUGGGGAGAAGAUCUUAUCUACGCGAGAAAGGGCUAGUUUGAGAGGAAGUCAUAGGCUUGCGAGGAUGUGUUAUGCAAACAUAGGCGAGACGAUGACUUGCGGCCAAAGAGGUUGUAAGUGAAGAGUUUCAUGACCAUACGUUUGGGGAUGAGGCUUAGGUGAGAAGACAUGUUCUUGAUGAGAAGUUUGAUUGCUAUGCGAUGAAGGUUACUUUUACGCGUUUUGGGUAGACGGUGAAGUGGUUUCCAAGUGUUCUUAAGCAUGCAAAUGGUGGUUUCAUGCAAGGAGGAGGUGGCAAAGUCCACUUUUAAAAAAACUUUAUAAAUAGGCUCACUUUAGAAUCAAAGUUCUCACAAUUAUCUUCUGAAAAUUGAGUGUGAUUCAAGUUGGAGAAGCUUCCUUCGUGAGUAUUUUCUAGUAUGAGGAUGCCAUAUGAAAAAGAUUUAGGGAAGCUUGAGUUUGAAGAUCAAGAAUAUUUGAAGGUCGAAUUUUGAGCAAGGUUGAGUUUCUGUAAGCUACAGAACUCAAUUCUUCGAAUUUGAAGCUGAGAUUUUGAGGUAAAAUAAUUAACUCAUUUCUAAGCAAGUUUGAGGAAUGAAGUUCUAGUUUAAAGGUUAUGAACAUUUAUAGUUGAUAGUAGUUUUUUUUUUUUGGAAAAUUUCAGUGUUCUGGGUUAUUGUUGAGAUUGGUCAAGCAUCAAGGUGGAAGGUUUUGUUGAUCACGCAAGGUAAGCGAAAGAUGUUAUUUUUUAGCCUUGGUGUGUCAUAUGAGAUGACCAAACGCAUAGCUAGGCAGCAGGAGAGGGAGAGACGUGGCAUGCACGCAAGGUUGUACAUAUGCAUGUACACACACAUAAUAUAUACAUACAUGUCAUGUGCGUGUGUGUGUGCAUGUUCGUGUGUAUAAAUUUUAUAAAAAUAAUGGAAAACUAGAUGAACCUAGUGAACAAAACUUGUUAGACAAAAAUAAAAGAAGAAAAAAAAAUAGAAACUUAAAGUCUAUCAUUUUUAUAUACAUAAUUUUAAAUAAGUGGUCAUACGAUAGUUUUUUCCAAAACAUGUAUGGUUAUAAAUUGAUUACAAUGGUAACUCAUGGAUAGUACAAUACUUCGUUUUUAGAAAGGGAAAAAUUCAUUAAGUAAUUAAUUGAAAACCAAUGGAUUCCUUAUAAUGUGGAUAUUAAAGGGAUAAUUCAAUUGAAAUCACAAGUCCAAAGACAGGAAGACCCCAAAGACAAACCAUGAGCCAAAAUACUUAUAAGCCACUCUAUUACACUCUCCUUUAGCAAAUUAGUUCAACAACUUUGACAUCAAUGACUCUGAACUGGUAGCCAAUGAAAAUUUAAAUUUAAGGACUUUGGCGACAAUGGUUUUAGCACCCAUCUCCAACCAAACAACAUCCAACCCUUUUUCCUUCUCCCAUUGAAUCCCUUCAACAACCCCAUAAGCUUUAGUAGCUUCAAUCAUUACGUGACCAGAGUUGAAGCAACCUUGGCAAACCGAAUAUCAUCCAAAAUUCUUCCUUACAACUAUCCCAAUCUUGAAUCCAUCCAAAAUUAAGGGAAGAAACCUAAAUGCUAUGGAACUCAAGUUUUAUUGGUUAAAAACUAGUCUAAGUUAUUUGUAGUUGUACUUGUUGUAAAUGGAUGUCGAAAGGAAUUGUUGUGACGUGACAACUAUUCAAACGUGCACUCAUCAGAAUAAGAAAUAGAAUCAAGAGAAAGAGAAACGUUCGACUAGGAUUUUUCAACGGAAGAAAAAUUGUAAGAAAAUAAUAAAUACAAAUUAAACAAAUAGGAAAUAAAACUCAACCUUCCUCGUCUGACCAAACAAACAACAAUGGCACACUUGUAAUAGCAUAGUUAAUAAUGUUAUCACCACCGACACAUUUUCUCGUUACAAUUGGCAUACCUUGGUGUUUAUACCCUACAAUGCUAAACUCUCCAAUAUAGGACCGAAGCAUUGAAGUUUACUUAUGGAUCUUGUUCUUUGCUUAGGUUCCUAAACCCACAAGUUAUUUCCAACAAUACUAAAUAAACUCAAACUUACUCUUUAAAUUUUAUUGUUUUAGUUUUUUCUUAGGAAUGCAACUAUGAGAACAACGAUGUCAUUAUGUCCGAGUCUUUUCGAAAAUAGAUUUUUUGAGUUUGAAUAUCAAUUAUAUCAUAAUGGUCUCCUACAUCGAGUGGCAUGACAAAUAAUCUUUGAUCGUCUUGUUUCUAAUAAUCUCUUCACAUCGAGUGUUUUAUUCUUUUAUUUUGAAUUUGUAUUUAGUAGUUUCUACGAUAAUAUCAAUAAUUAUAGCCCUUAUUAUACACGUUUAUUAUAAAGUUUCCUUUCAGCGAAAAAUAGGAAGAAAAUCAAAAUAUGUGGAAUGCACACCCUAAACUAAUUCUUUUCAUUGUUUGUUUUUAUAUUCACACAUUGAAUAUAACUAAUUAGGCACCAUUAUUCCUACAACUCAUAAAAUGACUAUCUUGAAUGAAAAAUUCAUAACCCAUAUAGUGUUGAAGACUUAAAAAAAAAAAGGUCAAUAGUAAACAUGGCACAGGACAUGCACCCGAAAGAUUGUAUUAAAAAAAUUAAAAGUCUAACAAUCAAUAAUUAACAAGCUCUUGAAAAACAAAUAACAAUUUCGUUAAGAAGUGAUUAAAGUCAAUAAUUAAUUUUUGUCCAUUAAAUAUAUCAUAAUUUUCGUUUUCUCUAUUUAUUAUUAAAUGAACAAUAUAUAAUUGGUUAUUCAAAAAAGAAAAUAUAAACAUCAAACAUUUACAUUUCAUUAAAAUCUUCUUUUAUGUUUCUCUAUGUGAUGAACAUUUCAAUCUCCAUCAGAUCAAGAAACAGCGAUAUAUCCAAAUCCAACAACAUAAUCAAAUUAAAAGAAUGAACAUAAUGUAAUUACUCUCAAUCUUCCUUAACCUGCUUGUUCUUGUUGAGAAUCGAACCGUUCAAAUUUCUCCACAAGAAUCUCCCGCUCGCCAUGUCCACGAACGUCCAGAAUCCCUUCUCAACCAUCCUGUUCACUCCAAGUCGGUCCUCCGUCCCGCUCCGAUUCUCGUUUUCUGGCGCGGAUUUAUCGGAAGCUUCAGUCGCUUGAAAGAUAUCGGAGGAGGAGGAAGAAGAAGAAGCGGAUCUCCAGGCGAAGUAUCCGGCGAGAAUUGCAGAGAGGAAAAGGAGGAUGAAUCUGAGAGGACACAUUGGAGAAGUGAAAAUUUGGGGGUAGAAAUUGGAAGAUUAGUGGAUUUAGGGUGUAUUUGAGUUUUUAUAAUGUUGAAUUGAAAAUGGGGAAGAACGCGUAAUUGAAUUGAUGAGGUUUGGGAAUGGUAUUGAGUAUUGUUAUUUAAUUGACUUUGUGUUGUGCGCCAUGGUUGACUACUUCCAUACUUUUUUGUGCUUCGUUUCUUGUGGUGAUGUAAUUAAUUUCGGAAAUUGGGGAGUAGGUGAGCUUUCUUUCUACAUGGAUCCGAUUUGUUUGAACCAUUCGGUUUGGUUCCGGUUCUUUUUUUAUACAAAAAUAAAAAUGAAUUGUAUCUCCUCCUAUUUUUUUAAAUGAAACUUAUUUGUUUUAAUUUGAUAUCUAUUUUUCACGUCUAAAACGAAAAACAUUUUGUUAAGUUAAAUUGCUUGCUAACUUCUUUUAUCGCCUUGAGAGUGAGUUAACAAGUGGCUCUACUAGUUAAGCCUAAAAACAAGACAGUGAUGGAAGCAAAAUGUUAUAUGUAUUUAUCUCCAAAAUCUAGGUCAAAUAUCUUUUUUCUUCGUUAAAUUUAUGUCAUUCAUGCAAAAAAAAAUUGCUGCUUUCUUGAGACAUUUUUCUUUUAAAAGCAAAUCUUACCAAAUAAUCGAUAAAAGUUCUAGAAAAUGUUAUUUUAGUCUAUACUUCAGAUUUUAUUAUGCUUUUGAGUGAUAUACUUUCUUUUAAUAAAUUUUAAAUUUGACCCUUCAAACAAACUAUUGUUUUAUAUAUAUAGAAAGGAAAAAAACUAGAGGUUUGUAUAUUUCAUGUCCUAAAAAUUAAAAUUAAGGUUGCACAUAAAACAAUUUGUAUGUAGUAAAAUUAACAAACCUUGGAAAACCAACGUGAGAUGUCAAAAUUAACCCAUGGGCCGAUUUAUUGAGGGGCUUCACAUUUUCGAUUUUUGUAUUUUAAGUGUCAAAUUAUAAUAUAUUUUUAAAAAUACAUUUUUUUAUUAUAUUAUGUCUUUCGUACAGUGAUUGUGUCCCCCUUUGAAAUCCUAAGAUUUGGGUUCAAAACUCAUCAUAUGAUUUUUGGAUACGCCACUUAACGCCUACUUUCAAGUUUAAAUUCUUUCAUUUUAAAAUAUUCAAUCUUUAAUGUCAAACUAAUAAGGUAAUUGUAGUAUAAUUAUCAUUAAAAUUACCAUUCUCCUUUAGCCAUUCAGCUAUCAUUGUUUCAAUUUUAUCCUUCUUUUGAGAUCGUGACUUUUGAUAAAAAUAAAAAAUAAAAAACAUAAAAUUUUAUAUAUUAUUGUUAUUAUUAAUUGAGUUAUUAAAUUUUAAAUGACUUGUUUUCUAGUUUUUUUUUUUCUUUAAAUGAAUGAAUUAAUGGAUUUUGUUGUGUGAACAAUUGUUUAGUAAAUUGAUGGCAUGAUUUAAACAUGUUAAUUAAGAAUGUAAUAAUAAUCACAUAGGGUGGCAGCCCAUAGCUGCAAUGGAUAUUAAGUUGGUAAAAAAGUUAAAUCAAAAAUUCAAAUUAACAUUUUAAAAUUUGAAAAAUGAUCAGAUUGGAUAAUAUAAGACGUUUGAAAAAUAUACAUUUUAUUUUAAAAAUUAAGCUUUUAUAAAUACAAUUUCUAAUGGUUCCAUUUAGAAGUUCUUGAUUUUGUACUGCUGGUGUCUACAAAAAUUAAGUCAAACUUUAAAAAUUAAAUAAAAUAACAUAAAAACUUAUGAAUUUUUUAAUGCAAAAACAAUGAAAUUUAGGUAGAACAAAACAUAAAUUUCGAAAUAGAAAACUAAAAGCAAAAUCGUUUUCGAACGAAGUAUAAUUCUCUAGACCUUUUGGUUCAAUAAGGAUGGAGGCCGAGAAAUAUUCGAUCCCUAAGAUGGUACCUAAUAGCUAAUACUUGACUUAUUGACUAUAAUUAAAUUACAGUAGAACUGUUUUCAAAUAUAUUAAAUAAAUCAAUUUAUUACAGUAACUUUUGGGAAAAAAUUAUAGUAAUCUUUAUAAUUAAACACAUUAACUUUCCUACUAAGUAUAUGCUCCAGCUUAAACCUAACACCCAAUAAUCUCUUCUCCAAUUAGAGGGACCCAGAAAGUAAAUGAGAUUAUUUAAUCAAUCUUGGAAUGCAUUUAAUUAGGUUAUUGUUUUUAUAGAAAAAGAAAACAAAGAGAUACUACUUUAAGUAUAUUCAUAAGAAUAUGUGUAAAAGAAGGAUCAUAGCCAUUAAUUUAAACACAUAUAAAAAAGCAAGGCAAAGUGAGGUGGGAUCUUACCUGCCCUCCAAAAUAAUUUCAAAAAGUUGUUUUUGAAUAUAACAAAUUGUUAUCGUGUAUAAUUUUAAUGUAUGUUGCACAUGUAUAUAACCUUUUGGAAAGAAUAAUUAAAUUAAUUUGACUCAAAUUUUAUGGUAAUGUAUCAAUUUAGAUCCUAAUUAAACUUUUAAAUCUAACCAAUGUUAGCGAUGCUUUUAACACUUAGUUUAACUUUUGCUAAUCUUCACACUAAUUUGAUGUACAAUUUAAUGGAUAGUUUUUUUUUUUAGAAUGAAUAUAAUUAAAUGAAGGCCAAUGCCAAUAAACAAACUUCAUCCGUAUCGAGCGUGUGAACAUCUCUAGCCAUAAGUUCUGCGUCCACGUGUCACCACAUUAAAUUUUGAGAUAAUUGCAAAUAUAGUAAUUAGAUUCAAAGUAUUGGUAUAUAUAAUAAUAGUUUUAAAAAUAUAUAAUUAUAGCAAAGUUUAUGAGUGAUAGGAGUUCACUGAUAGACUAAGAGUAAUAGAUUUUGCUAUAUUUAUUUAAUUUUGUAAUGUUACUGUAUACUCUCUUGCUUAUUAUCUCUAAAAUUGUUACCCAUUUUAAUUGCCCACAGAUUAUUAAUGGCUAAACAUUUAGCGUUACAAAAAAUUGUUUAAGAGGCUGAUCUAAAAUGAUAGACUAUUGUGAGUUGCCUUUCGCCCAGUAAGGUAGUAUGUUACUACUUUACUUAACUAGGGAAUUGCUUAUGCUUAGAAGGAUUAAAUAUAUGUCGGUACAUCGGUAUAUCCGUAAAUUAAGGGUUCUUCAUUGCUAUUAAGAACUAAUUGAUACCUUCAAUAUCUUUUAUAAAUAUACAUAACUUUCUAUCGUUGUCUUUUUGGUAUACUUAUAGGAGAAUAGUCUAACUAUCAUCCUACUUUGAUGUUCUAUUUGCUUUGUAGGACUCAUUUUGUGAAGCCCACAUUCUGAAGUAGAGGGACUAUGAAGAAGGAUUUCUGUAAAGAUGGAAGUUGAAAAGGGUAAGAAUUAGGCAUUUUGAAAAAGAAGCAUGUGUUAUAGCUAGGCGAUGCGAGGAAAGAUAGUAUGUGUAAAGAAGCUAGGUGACACGCUAAAACAAGAUAACGAGAGAAGGAAAGGUGGUAACAAACACUUAAUCAAUUAUCAAGUGACGAACUAGGCGAGGAGGAGUCGGUUAUGUGUUAAAUUUGAAUGAUUAGUUAGCUAAACACACGUUAAGUUUAAGUUAAGCAUGGAUUAAGAAGGAUACUAAGCUACCAUGUGUAAAGCACUAAGUGGGCGCUGGCGAGCAAAGAUGAGUUUAAGGGUGACUAAUUCAGUUUGAGAUUAGCAUAAAUAGCUAAUGAGUUCAAAAGGAAAACUACAAGGAAGUUCUGAUGUCACGCCCUGCCCCGCAAGCACCUCAACACUUUGCUUACGUAGUAUGACUUGAGUAUUUCUGACAUGAUUAAACGCCAGAAAGCCCAGCUUAGGUCCUUAAGCUUUGUUUAAUCACCUAGUACCUUAAAUAUCAAACUUGAACUACACUUUAGGCGAUAAAACAUUACUUUGAGAUCUUUCCUUACUCACAAUUAAGAAUCAUAACACACCGGAAGAACAAAAACUUAAAUUUUAUUAACUUAAACCAUGAGUUCUACAAUACAAUUUACAUACAAAACUUGAUUACAAAAACUUAAAUAAAACGCCUAGCAGCUUCUCUUCGUCUAACAGCUUCUCAACUCUUCCUUACUUUGGCCUUAACGUCUGGUCACCUAGGAAGUGAAAACAUAAAAUGUAAGUCAAGAGACUUAGUGAGGUUUUAAGAGGAACCCUUUGAAAAUACAUUUUAUAAUCAUCACUUCAUAACAAAUUGCGUAAACAUAUCAUGUUGCAUAAACACACAUUAGUCUUGCAUCUCUUUUACCGAGAAUAUGAACCAUUCCCCACUCCAAGAGUCAUCGCCUUGUGUUUAGACUACUAUGAUGACAUUUUCAUCAACAACAUUCGAAAAUUUAUGGGUUCUUUUCUCGUUGUUCAGACUGCCUUACACAAUGCACAUCUUUAUACAUUGGUCGACUUCACUCCACCAUGCAGGCCUUUUCUACAUGAUUGUCUUUAACCUUAUGUGCACAUAGCAAUUAUCUUAAUGUUAGAACAUUAGGUUUAAAACAUAAUCUUUCAUUUCAAAUACUUUGAAAUCAUUCUUUACAAACCUCAAAGCAUAAAGAAAAGCUUAAAAUAUACAAACACUUUGAAAUAUCACUCACAAAAACUUGGUUUAUCCCUUCUCGCAGAACGCGUAGCUUCACUUCUUCUUCGAAGCAACUCAGCGGAGUAACACUUCACUUCACAAAUUCUUAGAGUAAACUCUUAAAACAUUAUGUCUUCGUCCUCUAUUUAUAAUAAUUCUUAAGUUGUGUUAGUCAUCGCAAAGCUUCUAAAAUAUUCUCAGCUUCUACUUAAGGUAUUACACAUGUAAGCAUAAUAUUUCACUUAAUCUUACUUAACUUCCAACUUAACAUGUAACCAUUGUCAAGUCAAUUUAGACAUCUUCUGACGCCUACUUGUCUCACGUCAUCCUAACACAAACUUCAAAACGCAAGCUUCUACUCAAAAUUUCCAUUCAACACUUUUAGUUAAAUAUUUGAUCAUUUUAUUCCAAACACGAGUCUCACAUAUGAAAAGUGUUUAAGUUCUGCCAAGAGAAUUCAGACAACAAGAGGAGUAAGUGAGGCGUUAAGAAGGGGGUUAGGAGGAAACGUAUUAGCUUGGUGGGUGACCCUUUUAAAGAAAAGAGAUCAAGCAAAGUUUUCUAAAGCCUUUCUUUCGAAGUCAUGUUAAUUUUAUGAAUAAUGUAAUGCAUGUUAUAACCUUGUUUAUGAUUUACAUGAAAACCAUGAAUGUUUGAAGGUUUAUUUGAGUUAAAGUAUGUGUUCUUAUGUUGCUUGUAUGUUAAUAAACCUUUAGUUUUAUUCCUACCAUGAGCUAGUUGCUAUGUGCACAUAAGAGUAGUGCCAACCAUACGUUAAGUGGUUUGCAUGUUGAAAAGGUCGCUGGGUGCAUUGAGCGAUUUGCAUUCGAGCUGACGUCGAAGCAACUAGAAUUGAAUGAGGGUUCACAAAGAUGCUAGUAGUAAAAUGAGAAUUAUGACAGUAGUAUAUGCGUUGAGAAGGUUCAAUGUCCAAGCUGAAGGAAUAAGUAAAGGCUAAUGCAAUAUUUCUUAAUCUCAGUGCGUGUUAAGGCGUUGAACUCGUAAAAUGAUUUUAUGCAUGUACUUGUAUUUUCCAAAAGGUUCUCCAAAAAUGUCACUUGCUAGGGUCGUAUUUUGGACGGGGGCAUGAUAUAUUUCAUACAAUAAGAGUGACGUUCAUGAUCUAAGAUAACCAUCCUCUCUAGGUCGGAUUUGAACCUAUGAGUAGUCAAUGUGAACAAUCACCUUAACACUAUAACUAGCAUGUUUGAUUCACUACUAAAGGUUCGUUAACACUUCUCCUAGCAACAAACGUGGAAUCAUCACAUGGUUGCUAAAGUAAGUUAAGCUUUAUUAAUAUUGAAAUAUUUAUUAGAAACUAAAUUUUUAAUUUUGAAAAGUUCACAUAAACAUCAACAUUUAUACCCUAAAAAUGUAUUCAAAUAUGCAUUUAAAUCCAAAAUUUAAACAUAGAAUAAAAUUAAUGGUGUAGAUUUUUGAAUAAGUAGGGGGAAAUAUUUUAAGCCUUUUAUGUAAUUUCCUUGGGUUAUUGGUGACAUGAGCUUCAUUUUGGGUCACUUCAAAUUGUACCAAGAUUCUACAUGUGUGUGUGUGUGAUGGAGACCAAACCAACCAUUCAAAUUUUAAAUAAUUAUUAAUAAUAAACAAUUUUAAACAUAAAUAAAAUUAUAUAUAUAGUUUCUUUUCUAGGAGAUUUUUUAAAAAUAGAAAAUUUUUAGAAACUAUUUUUUAAAAAUAUAAAAGAAGUCUUUUUUUAUUUGCAAUUUACUAAAGUUGAUAUUCCUUUUUACCCAAUGCAUCAAUUUGCAUUGCUUAUGCAAUACUAAAGGGAAGAUAGUGAAAUAACACGGGGAAAAGCUUAUAACUUUGGUUAGUGAACUUUGACCUAACAUUUUGGAUCAUAGUGGCCAUAAUUAUAAACCAAAAUUAAAGUGCUUUUCUCAUUUGUUAGAAUAUUUUAUUCCAAUAAUAAGGUUCAACCACAUUAAUUAUAUAUGAUUAUAUUAUUGAGUUCUAAUUAUAAAUGAAUCAUUGAAUGUUGGGUGGAUUCAUGAAUUUCAAUCAUCUAAAACAUUGUUGAGUGGAUCAUACCAUUGUUUGCACUUAAUUGGAACCUCAAAAGGAAUCUAUAUAUUCAGUUUAUGAAUUAUAGGCAAAUAUUAUGAUGCUAGUAGGAUUCUUUUUGUUGGAUGAUGUCUCAAUUUACCUUUCACUUCCUUUUUUUUCUUUAUCUUAUUUCAAUUUAUUUUGAGUUAGAUAUGUUUAACAAAUUUAUGAUGUUGAGCUUACUACCACCACCUUAUGACAUCUAAAUUAAUAUAGAAAAGUUUAGUUAAUCGCACAAGAAACUAUUUAUAGGUCUUUCUCUAACACUCCUCUCGUCAUGUGUAAUAGUUAUGAUGUUAGACAUGCUUAGAACUUGUAAAGUGUUGAUCUUUAUUCUAAUUUGUUGUUUUUUUGUUAGUGUAUAUUUACUAGUACCGACUUUCGAAACGUGCACUCCCUUGUUCCUUUCUAAUAUGCUAUAAAUUUGAACCAUCAUCAAUAGGCUUUAAACCUUUUAAUAAUCUCUUUUCUUUUCUUUUUUUUUUUAUUUUUUUUGUCGAGUUCAAUGAGAGUGAAAUUUGAAUUUUUUGGACUCAUGUCUAGUGCUCAUCUAAUCAAUACCAAUGAUCUUUGACAAUUUGACCUUAAGUUGAAAAGCAUUUAAUGUUCAUUUGAAACGGAAGACUCAAAAGUUGUUUACACCUCAUAACCUUUCAUAUGAACCCUUUUUUAAAGUGUUUUGCUUCUUCUUCUUCUUCUUUCUUUUAAAACAAUCUUUAAAAAUGACCAAACAAAAAUCCUAUAAUACACCAUUUGUAAGUAAUUCUAGAAUGUUAAAAUCAAUGUGUCAUUUUCAAAAUAUACUCACAAUUAUUUAAAAUUAUUUUAAUAUUUAAUUUUAUACAUUUAAAUGCAAUUUUUACAUCAUCAAAAUUGGUUUAUUUUAAUUAUUUUAAAAUCACUCCCAAACCUAUCAACACAUCUUUUAGAAUGAUUUUAAACAUAAAAAUAAGGUCGGGCUAACUAUUUUUUAAUCAAUCCCAAGCAUUUUUUAUCGUUUAUGGUAUAUUAAAAAAAAUACAUGAAUUGUAAUUGUAGAGUGAAAACCAAUUAGGUAACUAACUAUCUUUAAUAAGUGGAGUUAAUAAUGGUACAUCUUUUGAAUGUUUGAAGCAUAUCCUUUUUGUAACACAAUACCAAUUGAUUUACAAAUCUCCUAUGAGAUUGGUUGGUUCCAACUUUAAGUGCAAUUGGAGAAAGGAAAAUUAAUGUUGUAAUAUAAAGUUAAAGAUAGGCCAAAUUGGACAAGGUAGCUGAUGAACAUAUUCUUAUUCUUUUUAGCAGCUUUUUGGUAUGAUGUUAAAAUAAUUUUUUUUAAAAAAAAAUAAAUAACACAAUAGCUGUCUCUAUUCAAAUGGGGAACUUAUUCCAAAUAUAUAUAUAUAUAUAUGAAUAUAUAAUCAAAAUUUCACAUGAAUUGAUGCACACAUAUCAUCCACCUUAAGUUGCUCCCCAUAUAUAGAGCCAAAAGGUAGACAAAUAAUUGGAUAUCAUCCAAAUCAAUGAUAUUAUGAUGUGAAUGGAUGUGGUAAUUGUGGUUGUUUCAUUAUCAUAUAAAAAAGAAAAUUGUGAACAACUUAAUUCUGCGUCAUUACUGUAAUUGUUGAAUUCUAAUUUAAUUGAUAACAAUGAAUACUAAAAUAUACGAAAGAUUUAUAUUAAAGAUAUUUGGAAUAAGAAAGUGAAGUUGUGAACUCUUGAUCCCACAAUUUAAUAAGUUAUUGAGACAAUACAUAAAAUGGGUGAUUUUUAGUCGUAGGACACAAACUUCCUUCGACCUUGGAUGGAACUCCCAAACUCUUAGAUUUAUCUGUGUAGAGUAUUAGUUCGAAUAUUUGAAGACAUUUAAUUCUAUAUGUUAUAACCAAUUGAGUGAUACGAAGGUAUAAAUGGAUGAAAUAUAAUAAUACAUUCUAAUGCAACUUAUAAAGAAUCUAUACUUCUAAAUGACUUACAAAGCCUUCUUCAAAGUGUACACUUUUUUUAGCUUAUCUUAGAUUGAUUCAUUAAUAAGAAACAUUUCUACCCCUAAAUUAACCUCCCCUUCAAUUUAACAAAAUCACAAAAUGCUAUAGAUCUUGAAAAUCUUUGAAGUAACCUGGUCCCCUAGUUAAACUUGUUCCUACUUUAACGUUUUAGCCUCAAGUGUCAACGUUGUUUCAACAUACUAGUGUAAGCUCAAGAAUAUAUUCUCUUAAACUAAAAAGAAGACAAUAUCAUAUUAUUAGGUUAAUGUUUAAAAAGCACAUAUGUAAAUACAAGACAUGAAUACGACACGACGAGACACCAUAUUUUUUAAAUCAAGAACAUGGAAACAACAAAAACACGGUGACUAAAAUAUACAUUUUAAAAUAUAUGUAUAGUUUUUGUACAAGAGGGAACUUCAAGGUGAAUGAGUUUAUAUAUUUACAUGAAUAAAAGACUAGUUUACUGUAUUUUUAAAGCAUGUCUACAAAAACUGAACCUAUAUCAACUAUGUACAAUCAAAUGUCUAAUAUGUGUCCAAUAAAUAUUGGAAUGCUCAGGUGUCAGACAGAUACGCUAGCUAAGCUAGAAGGUCCAUACCUCUUAGGUUAAUGGUGCAUUUAGGCACUACAUUAGAAACCAAAAAAAAAUAAAGGUGAAGAAGCAGAACAAUCAGAUGAUGAUGUAUCUAAUUGAGACAUGAGUAAGAGAGGAAGUGGUAAAUACCUUUACAAAAGCAAUCAUAGUUGCUAAUAAUAAUCACAUCAGCAAGAAGAAAAAAAAUGAGAGCAGCCACAAGAGAAGGAAAAAAAAAAAAAGAAUAGUGGGAAUCUGAUUUGGAAUACACUCAACAACAUAGCCCUGGCCUAAGUAAGCUAUAUAAAGAUAAAACAGAAAGAAAGUCAGUGAGUGCAGAGUGACAAAUGGGUGUGUGAGUCAGAGUGUGAGUUUUGGCAUUAUAUUCUCAUAUUCACAUUCGCUUCGCUGAAAUUUUGCAUGUUGGAACUGCAAUUUGAUAGGGGUUUAGGAAAGAUUGGUGGAGACUUGGAAUAGAGAAGGGUAACUCUUUUGGGGGAAUUGGAAUCUGAUUCUACCAUUUGUUGUGUUCUUGUUCUUGUGUUGGGUUUUUUGUGUUUAUAAAUGGAUACCUUGGAGUGUACCUCGUUAUUCAUCAAGGAAAAAUUAAUGUUCUGAUCUUCUUCUUCUUCUGUAUUUCAACUUUUUCAGCACAGUUUCUCCUUUCUGUGAAGGGCCUAGGCUUCAGCUCUCCAUUUUUGUCUUUCUUUACUCUUAAGGUAAAUAACUCGAUCUUUAUACAAUACACUCUCUCUCUCUUCUCUCUCUCUCUCUCCAAAUGAGAAACAGAGUUUCCCAUAAAGUAUUAGUAAACAAAUAGUAAAGGUUUCUCUAUUUAGUUUAAAUCCUUAUUAUACUAUGAUCUCUUAACUUUCACUUUACUUCAAAAUUUUAUUGUAAAUUAUAUUUUCAGACUCACUGUUUUCUACGCUAAAUUACAAAAUACCCUCUAUGCUUUCCCCUUUGUUUAAAAAAUGCUCUCAUUUUGAAUUUACAGUAUUACAAUAGAACCUUUUUAUAAAGGACCAUCAAAGUAGAAAUCCUUUAGAAUUUUGGAUAAAUUCUAACUGAGCCCUAACAAUGCUCGAGUCUCAAUUUCUAUUCCAAAUCAUUACCUUAUCACCUAAUUUCUCUAACAUUUGUACUUUAAGGGCAGUUCUCGUUUAGAUUUAUUUGAUACUAACUUUAAAAACUUGAAACUAGAUCGAGCCCGCGUGGUUGUAAUUUUCUUUUUUUAAAUAAGACUCUUGUUAAACAUUAUGGGUAGGAACUUGUAAUGUUUGUACAUCUUUUAAUAACUAAUAUAGAUUUAUGUUAAAUUAUCGUCCUUGUACUUUGGAACUAUCAUUUCUGUUCAAUUUAUUUUCUACAUUUUCUAUAAUUCUUAAAGGAUAAGUCCUCAAAGCUUCUCAUUGAAUGGUUCUAAGGAUAGAUUUGAACGAACUUUGCCUCGAUCUUUCUUCUCUGUUUUUUCCUUUUUCCUUUUUCGUUUUGUUGUAAGUCAAAGAUUCCAUUACAGUGAGUAGUUUGUUAUACAUACCAAAGAAAACUUACUAGAUUCCAUUACAGUGAGUAGUUUGUUAUACAUACCAAAGAAAACUUACUCUGUUUUAUACAAAACAGCUGCAGAUUACUCUUUUAAAGAAUCCUGGGAUACAACCAUGAACGCACUAGCAGCUACAAACAGAAACUUCAAGCUUGCUGCUAGGCUUCUCGGUCUCGACUCAAAGCUCGAAAAGAGCUUGCUCAUCCCAUUUAGAGAAAUCAAGGUUUGAUUCUUCUGGUGACUAUUUAUAACUGUUUGUUUGUUCUAUUCACUUGAUACAAUCAGAAACAGAAAUAUACUAAUUCAACAGCGCAAAGGGAAAUGCAUCUGUAAGGGUGUUAGGUAGUUUAGUUGGGAAUAUUGGAAUGGUAUUAGUAAGGGCAUAAAUGUAGUUUAGCUAAGGAGUGAGUUAGCUUCUUUGGUUAGAAAGCAAGCAAUUGCUGAGUAAUUCCAGGGAGGAUCUAAGUGUCUUGUACUUGAUUUAUCACGUAGUCGCUAUUUUUAUAUUUCAAUAUAUUCCAGUUCUUGCUAUGUGAUUUUUCUUUUCAAAAAAUUUAUAGUUUCUUCGUAAGUUUUUAUCUUUGGAAAGUAGCGUUAAUCAGCCUUCUGGAUAUGACAGGUUGAGUGUACCAUACCCAAAGAUGAUGGCACAUUGGCAUCCUUUGUUGGUUUCAGGGUCCAGCAUGACAAUGCAAGAGGCCCCAUGAAGGGAGGGAUCAGAUAUCAUCCUGAGGUUGGUUGUUUUUCUUCUUAUCCAGUCUUCUUUUUACAAUAAUCGAAGAUUUGAGGGCUCCUCCUUGUAUUUUACUAAUGGCCCAACUCUACACCAAUAUCCGGGAAGUCCUAACACACUCUUAUGUCAAACACUGGGAGAUAACAAAAAAAUUUACUUGGUGUUUGAACUUGUGACACAUUGGAUGAUCCGAAGUCAUAUUUGUAGUCAUAUUUAUGAAAGCAAUAUGCAUAUCAAUGCAGGUUGACCCUGAUGAGGUAAAUGCUUUAGCACAAUUGAUGACAUGGAAGACAGCGGUUGCAAAUAUACCUUAUGGUGGAGCCAAGGGAGGGAUAGGAUGCAAUCCUGGAGAAUUAAGUAUAUCGGAAUUGGAGCGUCUUACAAGAGUUUUUACUCAAAAGAUACAUGAUCUUAUUGGCGUCCACACUGAUGUUCCCGCACCAGAUAUGGGAACAGGUCCACAGGUUGACUACACAUACACAAUCACACAUAGUUUCAAGUCUAGUUUAAUUCUUCAAGGUUCAGCUUUGCUUCUUCAUAAUUGAGUUUGUUGCUUUGAAUAGACAAUGGCAUGGAUACUAGAUGAAUAUUCUAAGUUUCAUGGCUACUCACCAGCAGUGGUAACAGGGAAACCUAUUGUAAGUCUAUAUAAGGCUCAACUCCGCUUCAUGUAUUACUAAUAAAACAAAAACUAAUCAAAAUUGACUUUCCCCAUACUAGGAUCUAGGUGGAUCUCUGGGCAGAGAUGCAGCAACGGGACGAGGCGUGCUGUAUGCAACAGAGGCCCUACUAAAUGAGUAUGGAAAGAGCAUAUCCGGCCAAAGAUUUGUCAUUCAGGCACACCUUUACCUUGCUGCUAAAAUUUCUCAGUCAAGCUAACAAUUAUAUAUACCAUUAUAUGCUAACUACAAAUAUGGACUGAUAUGUUAGGGUUUUGGCAAUGUGGGGUCAUGGGCAGCCCGACUGAUAAGUGAAAGUGGAGGGAAGAUUGUAGCAAUAAGUGAUGUAACAGGUGCAAUAAAGAACACCAAUGGAAUAGAUAUUCCAAGCUUACUAAAGCAUGCAAAAGAACACAAAGGUGUGAAAGGUUUUGAAGGAGGAAAUCCAAUUGACCCCAGAUCUAUUCUGGUUGAAGAUUGUGACAUACUAAUACCAGCAGCCCUUGGAGGCGUCAUUAACAAGGAAAAUGCUAAUGAAAUCAGAGCCAACUUCAUAAUAGAAGCAGCCAAUCACCCAACAGACCCAGAGGCUGAUGAGGUGAGCCCAUAAACGAACAUCGAACCAAAUUAAGAUAAUCACAAAAGCUAUUCAUUAUAUUUUGUCAUCUGUAGAUAUUGGCAAGAAAAGGAGUUGUUAUUCUACCAGAUAUUUAUGCAAAUUCAGGGGGCGUUACAGUUAGCUACUUCGAGUGGGUUCAGGUACACCCCCCACCCUUUGUUCAUUCAUUUACCAACUCCUUUGACAAAGGGACAACGGAUACACACAUGAUAAUAUAACUCAAUUGAAACAAACAAUACAAAUGCAGAACAUCCAAGGUUUCAUGUGGGAGGAAGAAAAAGUAAACAAUGAGCUGAAGACAUACAUGACAAAGGGCUUCAAAGAUGUGAAGGAGAUGUGCAAGAACCAUAAUUGUGACCUUCGAAUGGGAGCUUUUACACUUGGAGUUAACCGAGUUGCCAGAGCCACAGUGCUGAGGGGUUGGGAAGCCUGAGUAGCUGCUUCUCUCAGCUCUAAAUAAAUGGGGAGACGCUCCACUCCCUCACCAUAUUGUUGCUUCUUUUUCUGCUGUAUUUUCUGCAUACAAAACUCUCCAUUUCAUAGCAGUAGUUAUUUUUAUUGAACACACAUGCAACCAUUAUUAUCUCUGCCUAAAAAUGUCAAGUACAUGGUAUGGUUUUGCUUCCUCCCAAUACAUAUUGAGAGGAAAUUUAUGAAUUGAUUUUGGAUGAGAAGGAUUCCUCUAUAGGCUUCAGCCACCCACUUGCUUCCAAGCUUUUAGCCUUUCCCGCUCAUGAAUUCUUGUCCUUCUUUAGUUCAAAAGGUCAGUCCAACGCAUACAAAUUUCAUACAAAGAAGUGGUUUUUUUAAAGUACCAUAUGAUGAUAGUUCCUUUAUAUAAGAAACCAAACCUUCAUUCAAAAAAAUGACGAGUCUAAUACUAACUCCAGUCCGAAAGAUAACACUAAAUACAUCAAGGACUGAGUACAAUAUCUAAUGGCAUAACUACAAAAUACCAGUUUCAAAGCCUAUGGACAUUGGUCUUAUUCUGUUCAAAAAGCGCAGCAAUCAGAAAUUCAGCUGUAUGAGAAAUAUGACAAACUAAAUUUCAUCUUCCACAACCUUGAUCCAUGUAUAUAUUCAGGAACAAAUUGCAAAAUUAGAGGUGGUUGGUAAAACAUUAAAAUUUGGAGCAGAAUUAAAUUAGGUAGUAGCUUCAGUACUAAGAGGUUCAAUUCCAAAUAAAAUACAGUGCAAACAAAAGACUCUUGCAAGCGCUUCUCAAAACAUUGCAAAUGGAAAAUUGGUAAAACUAUGAUGUUACAUAAUGCUAAUCUAGAAUCUUCCUCUACCCCUAAAGCCACCACCACGGCCACCACCUCUUGGAGGGCCACCUCUGCCACCUCUUGGGCCACCUCUGCCACGAAAACCGCCACCUCCGCGGCCACCUCUGCCGCCACCUCUGCCCCCUCCACGACCUCCGCCUCUAGAGGGAAACUGUCCCCUGAAAUAAUCAACAGACAAAUGUUAUUUCUAUACUGAAUCUAACACAAACAUUGUGAAGCAUUGCUCACUUGUUCCUUGAUUUUUUCAAUUUUAAAAAUUUGUUUUUCUCAACACAAAAUAGGGCCACUGAAGUAUAACAUCCGCGUAAUGAAGCAAUAAGAUAUUAGAAGCACAAAAGACAGGUUUUGGAAUUUUUCAUCGUCACAUCAGACCCAUAAUAUGAACCUACAUUGUUAGUUUAAAUUACGAGAAUUUGGAAACUAUAGAGAACGAUGUAUCUACUAUCUAAACAAAAAAGAUUAAAAAAUAAAAUAAAAUAAAACUGACAAAAUUCUAUUCAGGAUGGCACCAGUAUUUCAAGUUACUCGUGAUUAUACUCAAUUCGGAGGCCAAAGUUUCAACUAUAAUAGAUUGUUUUACUAAUUACCCCACCUCUGUUCAAGAUUCAACAAAAACAAAGAAAAAUGCAAAAAAAAAAAACCCCUGAAAUUCUAUCCAAACCAUACUCCUGAACAAUAAACCUAAAGCUAUGUGCAAUGGGCACCAAAAAAGCUCUUCUUUUUUAUUGCGGUACCAUAAAAGCCACUAUGAAACCUCUCAAGACAAAUGAACAUAAGCAAUAACUUGGAAAUUGAUGCUAAUAAACAUCUCGAUGAUCAAACUCAAAUUCUAGACCUCAUUUGAGGUGGGAAAAAGGAAAGAGAUGGGUUACGUACUUUGGUUGUGGGAGAAAUCUAGCAAGUGGUAGGAGUUUAGCUGGAUCAAUAUAAAAUUUAUCCCCAGAAGCGUAAGAGGUUGCGACAAUUCCUUCCAUCAUUUUGAUCGAGAAGUACUGGAAUCAGAUUAACAAAAGCAAUGAUUUAUCAUUAUUUUAAUGAAAACAACACCAUUCAUCAUAUAUCAAAACUAAACAACAACAAAAAUCAAGGCCAGUGAACUCACAGAUUCAUUGAUGGGGCCGAAAAUUUCAUCAACUUUCCCUAUCUGAGUCUUGUUCUGAAGAUAAAUAGGAGCAUUAAAGAAAGGAAUCUUCUCAUUUGUGAGCUUUGUGACUGCAUCUCCCUCACACGCAUGAAGGAAAGUAGAAACCUCUGUAGCAAGGAAAAAAAAUUUUUAGUGACGAAUAUAGGUGAACUUGUGUGAUUCAUUCAUAGACAUGAAACAUCAAAGUUCAAACAGCUAGAGAGAGGGAAAGUUCAAAAGCAGAAUCCAUCGUUAUUUCCGAUUAUACAAACGCAAAAACCGAUAACUAGUCUGCCUUAAGGAGCCCAAGUGAACAUCGCAUUGUAACAAAAACUGUUUUCUGAAAACAUCAAGGUAGCAAGAAAAGAAGCGAAAGGUGAAGGAAAAAGCAAAUAAUGGUAGAUACGAACCAACGACUUCAGAUGGAGGACCCUCAUCACGGAAGCCUCCGCCUCCACGACCACCAAAGCGGCCACCUCCCCUGCCACCGCCGCCACGUCCACCUCCUCUACCACCAUCACGGCCUCCUCUGAAGCCGCCGCCGCCUCUUGGAGGUCUCAUUCUUCUGCUCUUGAUGUGGGGAAAGGAGAAAAAAGGAGUGAGCUUUUGUUUAUCGGAGGCUCAUUGCAAAAUUCUCGCUUAGGGUUUUUAGGGUUUUAUGGGUCUUCUUAAAUUGACCCAAUUGCCCAUUUUAUUUCUUUACCUCUUUUCUUUUUAUUCUAUUAAAAAAAAAAAAACUCAAAUUCUAUCGUAAAUUAAAUUAUUGAAGUCUAUAUAUAUAAUAAAAAAAAAAUAGAUUAUUGUGUAAUAGACAUGAUAUUUUUGUUAAUUUUUAAAAAGAUUGUCAUUUAAAAUAAUUUUUUUAUUUAUUGUUUAUUUGUUCUUAUUUGGGUAGAAAAUCCCUUUUGGUAACUUUUGUCAAAGUAACCAUCUGGAUUGAAUAAUUAUUCAUUUGAUAGUGAUUUAUUUCUUAUACUAUCACGUUAUAACAAUCUUGUCUUUUGAAUUUUUGAAUAAGAAAUGACGUAGUAACCAUCAUGGAUUUGACUUUGCGGUAACAACAUUUUUUUAAAAUUUUCAAAAGUUUAAACUGAGCUAAGUUGACUGAUUGUUUACUAUACUAAAUGCUCAUCCCCAACUCCACUUUGGAUGGCUAACGAAGCUUCCUCUCUCACUCAAUUGAAAAUAACCACUUAAAAGACUUUGUAAACUCGUUAGGUUUGGUAAAUUAACCAUUGCAUAAUUUUGUAAUAACACAUAUUUCACCACCAAGAAAAAGUUAUAGUAUAGUUUUCUUUGAAUCUUAUAAAUCAUGUACUAUGUUGAUGCCUAAAUUAGAAAAGUAAAGUAACCAUCUAUGAUAAUUUUGUAUUUAGGGGAAUAAGGUAACCUAUAAGUUAGCAAUAACUGCACGAGCAGUGUUGGUUUAGUGUUAGUUUAAUCUACAUGUUAGUUUAUUCUAAUUUGUGUUUGGGGUGUAGAUCAUUUUAGUUUUGGUUAUGAUAGUAUGUAUUUGGUAUGUAAACUAUUUUAGUUUGAUAAGAAAAUAGUAAACAAUGUAGAAAGGAAUAGAAAAAAAUGAUGAAGGUUGAAUAGUAAAAAGUUUAGGAAGUAGUACAUAUGGUAGCAAAUUGGAAGUUUUGAAACAGUGUUUAUUGUAGCUAAUUGAAGAUUUUUAAACAGUAUUUAUCAUAGCAAGAGGUGAGAUAUUAUAACCCUAGAUAAUCUUUGUCCCAAAUGGCCUCUGAAUGUUCAAUGUUAGAAUUUUAAAAACGUGCUAACGAUUUACCCAUUCUCCAAUGACAAAUGUAUUUUUCUAAUUUUUUAUUACUAUAUUUUAAAGAUUUACAAUAAGUUUUUAGGACUAUAAUAAUUCACUUCUUGUCCAAACACCACCUCGAAGUUGCAUUAAUAGUCUAACAUUAAAAAAAAAAAGUUAAUAAUAUCUUCUAAGGAUAAUAUGUGAACGAACAAAAUAUGAAUAAUAAAAGUAGGUAGGACAUAACAUUCGUGUUAGUAGUUUGAAUGAAAGUUGAAUUACAUUUGGAACUAAUUUUGGAAUAAUUAAAGUGAUUUUUUGUGUUUGGUAUAAGAGAUUACAAGUAAUUUUAUUAAAACCACUUUUAAAUCACACAAUAGCUCCACAUUAUUUUUAAAAUUAGUUUGCAGUGAGUUUUAAACUACGAGCAAAUCAAAUGUCAAUCUUCUAUUUAUUCUUUAAAACAUUAAGAUUUAUAUUUCUUACAUGACCAAAAUACUAGGAGUGUGUUUGGACCCCAUGUUAUCAGUGUGGACUUGGGUUAUAAUAACCAUAACUCACGUUUGGAGCCCUUGUAAUGGAAAUCAUAGUUUUAGGGUUUCCAUUAUCCCGUUUUUUCCCUUAAUCCAUCGUCUUUCAUUCUCAACUCUUCCCGGUUUUCUCCCUCUCACCUCGUAUUCAUCCCUUCUCCACUCGUCUUCAAUCUCUCAACCUUCACUUCAUCCUUUUCUUAAUAUGUUUAAUCCUUUUUCCAAUUUUCAAACGAAAUCAUCCCGUCUCUUCAAUCCUUGUCAACCACACUGAUUUGGGUUUAAUGGCCCAAAAAAAUAAAUCCCUUUUUACCUCAACUCAACUUCAACCUAUUUCAAUUGUUCUUUGGCCUUCGUUUUCUUCUGGGUAAAAAAAAUCUCUCUUCCUGUAAUUUUGUUUCUCUCCCACUCUUCGUCCUCCAUAGUUUCGUUGAAGGCUUCGCUCACAGGAGUUCAAACAUACAUAUAUACGUUCCCACUGCGAUUAUCAAACAUAGAAACGAAGUUGGAGGUUUGGUCGGAAGAGUGCUUAAUCAACCUCACAGGCAUACCCAAAAAGAGCUCCCCGGUGGCUACGACGAGCUCUCCAGUAGCUACGACGAUGGACCUCUUCUCCGGAAUGGGAUCGGGUGGAGGAGGAGAAGGUGGGGGUGGUGGAGAAGAAGAAGAAUUGGAAAUGAAAUGUAGAGUUUGAGGGCGUAGAGGAAGAGGGAAUGUAUGAGUGAAAUUGAGAUUAGGGUUUAUAAUUGGGGAAGAAAAUGGAUGGAAAAUUGAAAAGAGAUGAGGAGGAGUCAUUAUUGAAGAAGAAGAGAAGGAAAAAAAAAAAAAAAAGAACACAAAAGAAGUGAGGGGCUUUCUUAGUUUUUGUUUGUUCUUCCAAAUGGAAUUAUUUUUAAUUUUAAUAUAAUUCAAAAUAUUAUUGUUUAUUUACUUAAAUAAUGGCAAAGGCAUUGUUGAGAAUUCUAUGGCUAAAGCAAACAAAAUAUUUAACUCAUACCAAAGAUAAUCAUGUUGAACAAAUCUCAGUUGAGGAGACAACCUAAACUUUGGUAGGAGUAUAUUUAUAUUGAACAAAUCGGAGUGAGAACAAAUCAGUAUAAUCAUAUUGAACAAAUCCCAGUGGGAACAUAUUUAUUUAUAUAUAAAUGUAUAUAUGUAUAUAUGUAUAUACAUAUAUAUGCAUAUUUGCACUCUUUAUUCCACUUUUACAUGUUGCGUCACAAUAAAUAAUUGAAAUUGUAAAUGUAAUCAACAACUAAUCGACAACAUGUUUAAUAUGGACGUUACCAAUCCAUAAACUAAGUCAAUUACUUCAAGCGACAUUGGAUGAUUUGGUAAAAAAAAAUUAUUUACUUUCACUAUUGGAUUUUAAAUAUGAAUUUGAUAAAAAAAAAUUAAUUAAAAAAUAAAUCUAUCACAUCACUACCAACAUAACAAUUCCCCCAAACACAUUUUAUCAUAACACUACUUAAAUAAUCAUUCCCUCAAACACAUCUUAUCAUAAAAUUAGUUUUAUCAUAACACUAGUUUUAUCAUAACCCUAACCCUUUCAUACCCCAACCCUUCCUCCAAACACACCCUAGGAGUGUAAGAAUAACCCCGAGUAAUCUGACAACUCAGACUAUCCAACCUAUACUAUAUGGGUUGGAUGGAGUUAAGUUAAAAUGUGGGUUAGGUUAGGUUGAAGAAAUUGAAUUUUUUGGGUUGGGUUAGGUCUCGGGUUGGAGGGUUGAAAAUUUUAGUUCAACCCAACCCAACUCGAAUUCAUAUAAUAUAUAUAAAUAUAUUUAUAUUAUAUAUUUUAAUAUUUAUUUAAUAAGAUCAAAAAAAAAAAUAGGUUAAGAAAUCAGAUCAUGCGCUUUCCUUUCCUUCAUUCUCUUCCUUGUGCGUUCGUCUUCUCAAAUCUCCUCCUUCUUCAUUUGUCGUUCGUCUUCUCAUAUCUCGUCCCUCUUCAUCGUUCAUCUUCUCAAAUCUCAUCCCUCUUCGUCGGUCCUUCGUCUUCUCAGAUCUCCUCCAUCUUAGUCGAUUGUUCAUCUUCUCAGAUAUCACCAACUGUUCGUUUUCUUAGAUCUCCUCUCUCUUCGUCGUUCGUCUUCUCGGAUCUCCUCCCCUCUUUGUCGUUUGUCCCUCUCCUCGUCGUUCGUCUCUCAUCUACUAUUUUCGUCGAUUUUCCCCCAUCUAUUAUCUUCGCCAUUCGUCCCUCUCCUCACCAUCCAUCCCUUAUCUUCUGUCUUUGUCGUUCAUCUUGGUCGUCCGUCACCUCCCUCUCCUUGUCGUCCGUCUUCCAACCCGACAACCCAACUCAAUCCAUAUUUUAAAGAUUGGGUUGAAAACUUAAUUCGAGUUAUUCGAAUUGUCAAUCAAAACAACCCGAAAACAUGGGUUGGGUUGAGAAUGUCUCUCAACCCAACUCGAUUACACCCCUACAAAAUACAUUUCAUUAUUUUUCAUAAGAUGAAUGCAAUAUUUUCUUUUAAAGUAUACCAUAAUAAUAUUUUUAGAAAAUUAAAGUUAUUUUCUUUAACAAUUACAAUUAAUCUAGAGCAUAUAAUUUUUUUAGGGUUUUUUCAAAAAUAUACCAAAUCGGCAAAAUAUUUACACUGUAUAGAACAAUUUUGAAAAUGAAAAAUGCUCACAGGCCCACAAUGGAAAAUACUAAAAAUGCGUCAGUCAACACGCGAUUAAUCGGCCAUACGCAUGUUAGAAUUUAUGUCAUAAAACUUGUAGUUUGUAAUCAUAUUCUAUUUAAUAAGUCGUUAUUGAGAAUUUAUUAGUGAAAUUAAAUACUAUAGACUUAAAUCCAAUAAACUAAGGUCCCAAGACCAUUUUUUAGUAAACUUGAAUUUUAUGUAAAAACAUAAAUAUGGAUCAAGUUCGAGUAUAUAGCCUAAAUAGUCUAUAGUAUAUGAAUAAAGUUAGACACCUUAGUUUGGGGAUACUAUAGAUGCGACCCACUUUGUAAUUAGUUUAAACGAUGUAAUCCUGAAUCGUUCAUGUAAAGACAUGAAAGUUGGAGCAUCCUAUGUAAAGAGUUUACAUAAGACUUAACCAUGAAAUAGUCACUUUUACGUUACAACAUCGUUUACUGUUUAAAACUAACUAUUUCGAUUAUUGAUGACCUAGGCAACUUAAUCUUAAUCCUGGGCUAACUACGCACUCCUGUUCACACGAGAUUAUCCUUAGGUUUCUAUAGGUGAGGGCAUCGCUUCAACGCUGGCCCAAUAAGCCUCUCAUUUUAGGGGUAAGACUCGUUAAAUAGUUGGAACUUGGGGACAUAGGGUGCAAGACGAAAUUCACUCCUACUCACUUAAGGGUUAGUAGAUAAGUUGUUCUCUUAAGGACUUAAUCCAAGUGUUGAACAAGGGGUCUUACUCUCUCAUUUGCUCGAGAGGGAUUCAGUUUAUAGAUUGAAACUUAAACCAAUUGUUCAAUAGUGGAUGAAUGAGACUUAAAGAGCAAGAUGUAGUCUCAUGGAUAAAACUGUAAUUUGAUCUAGUCUAGGUUAUGAAGAACCUGUAAAGGAUUAACUUACUGAUCAUGGUUAUAUCAAAUGAGGGGAGUGCAACUAUGGGACUUUGAAAAUAAUUGUUAAUUAACAAAUGUUGAUUAGCUCGGUCUAAAAGAAUUUAGCCAGUAAAUCUCAUAUUGUUCGAACUCAUGAUCUAUAGGUUCUCCUGCUAGCUCAUAUGGAAUAAACUUAGAACAGUAUGAUAGAAAAAGUCAAAUUGUUCAACUUAAGUGAGGAGAAAGAAAAUGAUAAGUAUAUAUGAUAUAGUCAUCAGUAAUCAGAUUAGAGAUAGAGCUUUAUGUUUAAAUGAAUUUAAAUAUUAAAGAUUUGAAUACAGAAUCAUACUCAAAAGCUCAAAAAUGAUGGAAAUAGUCAAAGUUGUAAAAGAUCAAAAUGUUGACUUUUGAUUUUGAAAAGUCAAACUUUGACCAGAAAUAUAUUCAAAUAUGAUUUGAAUCUUGAGAAAAUGAAUGUGGAUUCAUUCUCAGAAGGUCAAAAUUAGUCAAGAUAGACAUAUUUUCGGUUUUAAAAGCCAAAGUUUGACUUUGACUUUAUGACCUUUUCGCCCUUUGACCUAAGUUAGUGAGAAAAUCCAACAUUUUGUUUGAUAAUCUCAGUAACUAAAGUGGGCUAGGUGUUGUCAUUUGAUGAAUACAUAAAACCUAAUAGAAAAAGUGGAUUGUGUGAGAUGUUGGUCCAUAAUGAAUUAUAGACGUCCAUAAUGAAUACAUAUAUUCUUAAUUAUUAAAUUAUUAAUCUUUCAAUCCUUAAUAAUUUAGAAAUUAAAAUUAGAUUUAGUAUUAGAUCUUAAUUUAUUUUUAAAAUUUGAAUUUUAUUUUGAAAAUUAAAAUUAGUUUUCUUAUUAAGCUCUUAAUUUAAUUUAUUUUUAAAAGUUAAUUUUUUUCCAACAAAAUAGGCUAACAUGUUAUGUUUUUGGAUAAAAUCUCUCAAAUUUCAUCCAUAUUUUAUUAAUUAAAUAAUUUUCAAAAAAAAUCAGCUAAACUCGAUGUGUUUGGAUACGUACUACAAAAUUAGACAUAAGAAUUGAAAUUGCAUAAAACGCAUGAAAAAGAAACUUGUAAACUAUAUUAGAAAAUUGAUGGCAGUCCAUAUACAAAGUUACAAAAAUCUUGGGCAUAUUGCAAAAAUGAAGAAGAAAAGUACGUUGGUUACACACAUUGUUGCUAGAAGAAGAGAAAAAAAGGUUUCGAGUACAUAUCGUUUCCUAUCCGCAAUGUAUCCGUAUGAUAGAAAAAACAAAAAAAAAAAAAACAAAACUAUUAACGGUAAUCAGGAAAAAGCAAAUAAAUAAAAGAAAAAAUUUUGGUGCUUUAGAGGAAUGAAAUUCGUUCAAGAAUUUGAACUUGAAUUUCAUAUAGUGGAAAAAGUGUCUUCAAAUAUGCAAUGUUACGAAAUGAAGAACAUUGUAGGCAUGGAAAUGAAUAACAAGUAAUGGAAAAAAUGUUCUUCUACGUUGAAUUGCAAAGAAAUCAAUGACGUUAUAGAAGAAGAGAUAAUUUGCAAACUCGCAUUUGAAGAGAAAAUGACAGUGACACCGCAAAUUAUAAGAAGGAAGAAUAUGGACUUUGGAAAAGAAAUAAUACAUUUUCAUACUUCUUCAUACACGCAAAGGAAUGAAUGCAUUCACAGACAUACACGACUCCAUUAGCUUGACUACAUAAUAACAUAUCAUGAAAUGAAGUUGUAGGAUGAGAAACGAAGGAGGCACACAAAAGGCAGGAUGUAGAAGCAUGUAUAUAUAGGUGGGGAUGGGCUAAAUUAAUGAUGCAUUCAAGACCCAUAAACAAACAAAUAUGAACAAGCAUUGUGAUAAUGAUAGUAGAUAACACAAGGAAGGGGGAAAUGAUAUAUUUCAGAAACAUAAAAGAUAGUCAAAACUUUAAGAAACAGAAAAGAUAGUUAAAACUUUAAUCCACCAAUCCUACCACAAAAAAUACAGGAUGGAUAUGCACAGAUAUGAAGAAACAGAAGCAUCAGUAACAGAGAAAAAAUAUUACGAAAAUAGUUUAUCAAAUGGUAUGCACGGGUAUUAAAAGACAGAAGCAUGAAGAAUGGCAUAGAAAUUACGAAAAUAAAAAGUCAUUACAACAGCAUCAAAAAAUGUAGAUUGUGUAGUCAAAGUGAACACAAGAACAAAACAACAUAUAUAAGCAUGUAAAUAUGAAAACCGAACAGUAAUCCAAAUGUAACGAAUUCACAUAACAUAAAAUGAGCAUGAAAAAAUAACACGUAUGAAAAGAAAUCAUAAAAUGCUCCGUUCAGAGGACCUCACCAUCAACAAUUUAAAAAAUAGUGAAAACGUUGACCUUCAUCCCUACUUUGCUCGGAACGAUCCACUGCCACUCUAGAUAUAGCAUCUAUCAAUUUUCAGUAAAGUGAAAGUCUAAGCAGUAAGAAAAUGUUGGAGUGACAAGAUUAGAAGACCAAUCAUACAACAAACUAGAAGGGCUUCGAAGGUCUCAAUCGUGGAAAUGAAGCUAGUCAAUGAAACCCAAAAAUGGACAGUGAAGGGGAGAGAAAGGUAGUGUCACAGGGGAGUUGAGGAGAGAUUGAGAAGGCAAAAUGGAAAAUGUGAGACAGGUUGAGGAGGUUUUUAUGAAACUCUAAAGUAGCGUUAUGAUAACGCUUCGUCGAACAAGUCAGCCAACCUUAACUAGAGCUCAAACGGCCUCUCAAUGAGUCAAAUGGUUGAGCAACCUUAGUCAGAAAAUCAAACAAGGCAGGUGACUAAAAGCUUAUUGAACUUUUUAUUUUUAAACAUAAACAUAAAGCAAUAAUCAUCAAACUGUUGCCUAAUCACGCCAAUAAAUUAUUGAUUACCCUCUAAGUGGGAAUUAGUCCUAAUUUUCUUUUCUUCGAAACUGAUUUGGUAACCUCCUUACUUAUCAUUUUUUACAACAUUUUUAAAUAAUUCCUUGAAAUAGUUCUCAAUAAUUCAUACGAUUUUCCUACCUUGAAAUCCAAUCCCAAAUGGAUAAUUUUUAGAUCAACCCAAAUCCUUACUUAUCAAACUAAUGAUAUUACACCUUAUUACUAGUUUCUAAGUUUUAAAGAUUCCAUAUGUUAUCAUUUUACAUAUUAUAUAUAUUUUCCGUUACCAAAUAAUAAUGCAUAGGACUCCAAUGUCAUUAGAAUAGCAAACGUAACCCAAAAAAAUACAAUACUAUCACCGUUAUCGUUAUCCUCGUCCCUAGAAUUUCAAAGUGUUACCAUCCUUAUAAAAUAAAUGAGCAAGAAUUGGAUUAACCAUUGUUAAAAAUGGUUUAAUCAAAUAUUGGAUAGAAGAAUGAGAAGCUCAAUUUUUUGAAUGUUAGUUUUGAAGACUUUACAUGGUAAAAGACUAGAGAGGUUGCAAUCAAGUUGUACAAAACUCGUCUCCUUUUCUUUUUCUUCUUUUUCUUUUCAUUUUUUCAAUUUAGAAUCCCAUUAUGGAGGUUUGGCAUUAUGACCAUAAUUUUGGCCACAAAUGCAAGUACCUCUCCACAAACAUUCUUUGUUUCUCUUGCCCUUUCCAUCACAAUCCAUCCUCUCUUCCAUUGCUUUCCACCACCAUUACAAGUUCUUUAACUAAUGGAAUGGAGACACGUUGCAUUUUCAAGCCCAUGAGAAUAGAAUUAAAAAUAUAAUUCAUAUUCUCUUCUCCACCAUUUACCCUCAUCCCCCUCCUCUCUCUCAAAUCCCACAUCUUGAAUCAACUCAACUCUCUCAGCUUCCACAUUUCAAAAAAAAAGGUUUGUUCUGUUCACUUUUUGCCCCCUCCUUCUGCUGGGGCAUUGCCAGAAUAUACAUACAAAUUACACUGUUCAUGAAUCAUAAAUUAGCAAACCGUCCGCCCAUAACAUAUCGAUGCGAUGUAGAGAUUCUUCGACCAUUUCUCCUGCAAAACAUAUGUUGUAGAAACCAACCAUUACUACAGUAAGUCGUAAACUUUUGCCAAAAUUGAAAACAUGGUGUUCAGCAGUACCACAAAAGUUGUUUGAAUAAAUCAGGUUUCAAUAAGGUAUAAUCGAUUUCAUGUUCAGAUUUUUAUCAAUGUUAUGCAUGAGCAUUUCAUUUUCAGCAAGAAUUUUCCAUUUUCAUACGAUCGGUAAAAGUUCAAUGCAAGAAACUCAAGAUAAGGUAGAAAGUCCAAUUGAGCAAUUUUUGAGUGCAUCCAAGAUGGAGAUGCCCCAUCUUUAUGCAUCUCACUCAAAAAACAAUAAAAAAACAUUUCACAAAAAAGAUAACAAAUUAUUACUUGAUAAGUUAUAAUUGGACAAUAUAGUGGGGAUGAAUAAAGAUAGUUGCAGCCUAGAAUGCACAAAGAUAAAUGCAACGUGGGGAUGCACGUAAGUGUUGGAUAAAUUUCAUUAUGAAGAUAAAUGCAGCAUGGGGAUGCACGUAAGUGUUGGAUAAAUUUCAUUAUGAAGGUGUGUUCAUACCUUCACGUGUGUGCUGGGAAAUGCAGAUGUUCGCAAGGUUUCCUGAGUUUCGUCCAUCAAUUUUCGUUUCGGUAUGCUUAAUAUGAAGGCAGCCUGAUCUGCAGUUGCUGCCAUGCAUGUUAUCCUAUAACCACUUUCCCAUCUACGAUGAAUGCCUUCACUUGGGUACAAAAAAUCAAGCUCCACAACCUUGAAUAAUCGAUUCCAUACAGGACAAGAAGAACCCAAGAAAUAGUUUUCAGAAGGCAGCAAAUAGCUGUAUAAAAAAGAAAAAACAGCAAAAGUUUGAAUAAACCAACAAUUCGUAAAUUAGGAAGAAGUAAUACCUGAUCAGAAAAGCCAGCAUUUCUAGACAUAACCACACCCCAACGACUUCCUGCAGUGGUCAUGGAAGUGACAUGGAAUCCUUCUUUCCAUUUCUUGUUUAUCCACUUGAAAGGGAAAGAUUCACUAACUUUAUAGGAUUGCUGAGUAUAAGGUGUUCCUACAAGAUAAUGCCGAAACUAAAUAAGAACAAAAGAUCGUAAAUGCCUAUUAUUGGAUCAUAAAUAAACAAUCAAAAACCAAGCAGAAAGAUAAAUUUUGGAGUUCAUAUCAUGAAUAAUCCAGCUGCUAAAUUAUAUUUUAUUAUAAAACAAGAUUAGCAGCACUUGGAGACAAACAUGAGAAGUCUGUAUAAUGAUGACCUGGACAAUAAUUUUGAGAACCCAUUGAGACGUAAGUGUAUUGCUGCUAAAUAAAGAGGGGAAGCUUUUCACUGGAGGUAAAAAGGACUUCUCAAUAAACUUACAACAAUAGAAUCAGUUGAAACACCCAGUUAAAAGGACUAUCAUAAAAAAGGUCUAGUAUUCUUGCGGUCAAAACCACCAUACGAGUUAAGUAAAAAAUUACGUGUAAACUAGUUGGCAUGACGAGAAGAAAUAGAGGAAUCAUACAAUUCCAUAUAUCACUAUAUCUGAAUUUGAAAUGCUAAAACUCGAGUACCAAGCCACUGACCUUUUGACAUAACAACCAGGGAACUUCCAUUAGCUGCUCCAGCAAUCGAACUAAUAUAAAAGUUCUUUUCCCACUGCUCCAUAAUCCAAUCCUGAUAAGAAUCCAAUUAAAUCAAGAUGAUUUAACACAAUAAAAUUAUAUGGAAACACUAUAGUAAUCAGAAAAUAAAGCUCUGUGAUGAAUGCAACCUUGUGAAGGAACACAGAUGACAACUCGUAAACCUGGGAAGAGAACCCUGUUCCAGCAUCCAUGAUUAGAGCCCAGAGAUUUGAUGCUGAGGCCACACAGCUUAUAAGCAAUCCAUCUUCGUUACCCUUUUCUAUAUGUUGGCGCAACCUUGAGUCUGCAACAUUGUAGUGGUACCUACACGUCCAGUAACUUCCUUUAUAGGUAUAAUGAAUAAACACAUUGUAUCUUUAGAUUAUUCUCUUGCAAAACAAAAACACACUAAUGAAGUUUCAGUAAUAUUUGGAACAUUCAAAUGAUAGAAGCAGGUGAUCAUUAUAAAUUGUAUAUAUCUGUUCAUGAGGAAAGAAUAAUGAAUACAAAUUGUAGUUCAUUAAUUUAAUUUAUAAUGAAGAAUUGAUGAAUCAGUGCACUCAUCUUCUCAUAUUACUAAUAGUUGGUGUUAAAUCUUUUCCUCUCAAUCAGAGGCAAAGAUCAAGACAUAGAAUCCAAAAAAUAAUCGUCUUCUUUUGCAUUGAAAUGAUAUUAAAAACAAAAGAAAUAAGUUCUAUCAUAAUAACAUUGUAACAAAAAAAUCUCCAUUCUCCUUUUUCUGUCAGAGCCAAUUGAAACCAACUAUGUAAUUUCCUUGGAUGAUCAUGAUCAUGAUCAUGAAUGAAGAAUGGAUUGUGCGAUGCUAUUUUCGAAGGGAAGUUUCAUUUCAUCAAUUUCGUUCUUUCAAAUGCAACUUAGUUCCUAGUUACGAACCAAAGAAAAUGCCAAACUACCUCAACAUUCCACUCUCUGGAUAUUAACUUGAAUUAUUUUUGUAUAUAUAUAUUAAAUAUCUUUUAAGUACAACUUGGGGGAGAGGGAUUUGAACCCGAAAUACCUUGUCCUUGGAAAGAUACAAAUGUCAAUUAAGCUAAGCUCAUUUUGAUUAUCAAGAGUAUUUCUAAUGUUGUUUUCCAAAUGAUGACCAUCUUUCUACUUUCAACAUUCAUGAAUUGACACGAUCAUAAAAGCUAACUGGCUCAAUGCACAGCUUCGGUGUUCAAAAGUCAAACCACUAUACCACUGAGGUAAAUUCAAUAAAAAGCAGCAAAAACAAAAGAGUGUGAUCAUUAAGCAAUAAAAAAACAGCAGACCACAGAACAUUGAAAAUAAUCAGCAAAUAAGGACAUGAGACGCACCUUUGCUUCAUGGGCCGACGUGCAUUAUAAACCGAAAUCCAUUGAGUAGCAGGACUGCCUAACCUCACUUUCUUCUUUGGUUGCUCAUCUUCUUCCAAAUUUAUGAGCAGCCUACCACGCUUUUGCCCAACCUAUUUAUAGCAAGAAAACCAUAUAAAAUGAGGAAGGCACUUCACAAAAAAUUAAAUCCCAACUUAAGUCGAGCAAACUAAAACAUUACUGUUCAGGUUGGAAGAAGAUAGAAAAAGGAAGUUCAGGCAGGAUGAAAAUAGAAGAUACCUUCAAUGCUCCAUCAAUUCGAAUUGGCCUCAGUGGUAUGCAUGGAUCAAUCAAGCCUUCAAAAAAGGAUAUUAGUUUCGAAUAAUUUGGCUCCUCAUCAAAUUUCAUAUUUAUUACAGCUUCAAGAAACUGCUUGAAUGGUGCUGGACAAAAGCAGCACAUCAACUCUGGAGAAGUGGCCAUUUUUUUCUUACAUACUAAAAAACUCUUGUUAUCACCCUGCAUUUAUUAGUCCAUAAAGAGAAGAGUGGUUCGUUAGAGAGAGAGGGAGGGAGAUAAGUUUAAUAAAAUUUCAUAAAAGGCAAUAACUACAUUUCAAGGUAGGAUGAGGAUGAAACAUUUUUAGAUAAUUAUGUCUGUUCUUUAAUUUGGAAACUUUAAAAAUGUGAUUUGCCUAUUUACCUGCUCUAUAUUUUAUAUAAAGAAAUAAACAAAUCAAAACAAGAAAAAUGAACCAUUGUUCCAAAAUUUGAUAAACAAACUAUUUUGAUCUUUAAACUUAAAGUAGAUUGAAACACCUGAAAUUAAAGUGUUACUAUAUUUUACUACUACAAUAAAAAAGCUGAUCAACCUGAUAUCCUUGCCAAGGUAAUCUUCCUUUUAUAAGGAAUAUUAACGUGUAAGCCAAUGAUUCGAGAUCAUCUCUCCGACUUCCAGUUCUACCUAAAUGUGCAUGUACACUUGCAUACCUUAUUGUCCCCCUGGUGGAAAAGAUAUAUAAUAUUAAAACAUAUAAAUACUUUAAGAAAAUAUAUACAAACGUGAGAAGUCCCACAAACCUGAAUAUGUCAGGCCUUUGAUCAUAUUCAACAUGUUGACCACUAGCUAUAUCUUUCCAUUUAGAAGCUGGACCAAAUAUGAUUGUAAAACAAGCAACAAAAAAGAGAAAGUCAAUUAUCAAGUGGGGGACUCCCGGUCAAGAACAAGAGACUUAUACUGUGAAAAUAAGUUGAUGCUAUGUCAUUAGUGAGAGCAUACCUAGACCAAGAUCAAUAAGAUACAGUUUUUUCUCAUCUGCUGUCCCCGCUUGACCAAGUAGAAAGUUCUCUGGCUUCACAUCUCCAUGCACAAACCUUUAUUUACAAGAAAACAGACAUAAAUAAUUAGAAGUUUAAACGAGAGAAUGAAUGAUUGAGGCUUAAUUGAGAAUAAACUGUAUUUGUGGCUUCCCUUUGGAGCUCAUUGCCCAGAGAGUACUGUAAUUUACUCCAUGACUAUAUCCAAGUGUAAAACAUUUUCUGUAAUCCUUUGGAUUUUCUUUUCUCAAUUGUUUCUUAACUGAAUAUAUUGUUCUUUAAUAAAAAAAAAAAAGUUUUAUGUAUCAUAGAAAAUGUCGAAGUAAACGAAUGGAAUUAAGGGAACCCACCCCUUCAUGUGAAGCUUCUCAAGAAUUGAUAUCGCCUCUACCGCAAUGCAAGCUACCAUAGGUGGUGACAUCCUGUUAAAGAUGCCAAAAAUAAGAACGUUGAACAAUAUGUCAAAUCUGCAUGCACACAAAGUAAUAUUCAAGACAGAAACGUCAUUUAUCUUACGAUUGGCCAAGAGUGUUCCAGACAUCCCAUAGGCUCGGUCCAAGCAUGUCCAUGACCUGGUAUCCAGUUAAGAAAGGUCAGACAUAUAAACAAAUUUGAAAGGCAAGCCAUUAAGGAGCAGUCUAGUUCAAGCCUCACCAAAAUAUAGAAAUCACCCUGGCGACCUUUGAAAUGAACCCAAGGAAUUCCAUAGCAUCCAUUUAAAGCACUUAACAAAGAAAAACAAGAGGAAGCCACGGAAGUUCAGCAACGUCAAACAUCAUUACCUUAAUUCUAAACCUUAAAAAUGUUUAUCCAAUGACUCUUACCUAUACACUUGCCAUUCAUAUGGAGGUCCAUAACUGCAACCUUUACUAUUGUGAUGCUCAAACUUCAGAGCAACCUGUAAGUUCAUUCUAAUCAGGAAACAUGCUCCCACAUGAUCUAUUGAUCAAAUAAUAACAAUGAAGAUUAAUGUAGUGAGUGAUACCUCAAUUGCAUCAGGACCUGUCUGAUCAGUUCCACCACUGACUCUUCUACCAACAAAAACUUGGCCAAAACCACCCUUGCCAAGUUUUUUUUCAACCUUAUAUACAGGAGAAUUGCCCACUUGUACCUACGGAUCAAAUGAAACACAUCAGUCGAAUACUUGUACAGCCCAACCAUAUUGGGAUUUUGUUUUAUUUGAAGGGAGAGGACAAGUAUGCCGUGAUUGAAUCCUUGGACUUCGGAGAAACUUUUUUUGAAAAAAAAUGAUGAUAGAAUAAAACGAAUAUGUUAAUGUAACUGAUAAUGAAGCCUCCAUAUUGAUGUAACUAUUCUAAAAAUGAUAUACAGCAACAAAUGAAUAAGGUCAUAAGAAGACAAGAGAUACCCUAUCAGGAACAGGGGCUGUGCCUGCUUCCUCUUCAACUCCCAUUACUUUAUCUGCACUUCCACCCUCUAUGGCCAUAUCUUUAUUUGCAACGGCCUCAACUCGAUUGAAAACAGGCUCUGCUGCCCCAAUGGCACCAGCUUCAGGAAGAACCUCACAAGGUUCGGGAUCUAAGUCUAUCAAUCUGAUUCCACGUCCUCUCCGAGCAGCUGUUGGUCUUGCAGGAAUAGCCACUGAGGGACCUUUUGCUACGGCUUGCGCAUUACCACCUCUUCCUCUUCCACCAGCAACCCUUCUUCUGGUUCUAUUAGGGGCAGGCACUGCCAAAUUUUCUCCUUGAUCGAGUGGUUGUGUACAAGGCUGAAGAUCAUCAAGCCGUCUAGAUCUCCUGGCUCCACUUCGCAACUCAGGCAUUGUCAACCCAUACACAUCACAUCCUGCUUUAUGCACCCAAAAAAUUAGAUUAUAUCCAAAAAAUUUCAAAUCCAAUAAUAUUGGAAAACAAAGAUAGAGCCCUUACCGGGCUGGGCAUAAAAACAAACAUGUUGCACACCAUCCCCUUAUAUUUUGAGACCAAUGAUAUAAAUUUCAAAAAGAAUCUGAUAAAACAAAAACAAAGAGAAAGAAACUCUCUACUUUUGACGAUUACAAGUAUCCAAAUAUCAAGCAAAGAAACAAAAACCACAUAGUAAAAAAGAAAACUAUCAAAAAAAAAUGGGGGAAGAACACAUUCAAGAGUAAAAACAGUUGAAAAGUUCUGUUCAUUUAAACACCAAAGAGUAGUAGCAAAAUGUACCUAAAAAAUAUUGCUUGAUUCCGUUGCAAAAUGUUAAAGGUCCUUACGCUUUCUUGACCCUUCAUAAGUUGAUAAAUCAUAAACAAAGUCUGAUAAGAAAAAUAACAACAACACGAAUCAGACUAAACAUCCAAGCAAGAGUAAAAAUUACAAAGAAAACAAGUUUCGUCAAGCGAUCAUACAUGAAAGUAAAUGAACCCAACACAAAAAAAAAAAAAAAAAAAAAAAAAAAAAAAAAAAAAUUCAUCACAAACAAACUAAGAUAUUAAAAAGAAACCGAUCAUCCACAGAUAAACAGACAAACCCAAAAGCAGUAAUGAUCCGAUUACGAUGAAAGUAACAAAAAUGGACAAAAGGGUCUUAAAAAAACCAAGAAAAUCAUAGAAAAAACUUACAAAUAGAUCCGGUAACAGAGAGACUGAUGAUCGGAGAUGAACAAAAUUGGAUCUGAUCGAAGAUUUACCCCCAACAAAAGGAAAAAAAAAAAAAAAAGGUAUGAUUGGAGUCUUUGAUGUUGGGUGACUGAAAGGAAAGAGUCAGGCAGAAACACAAAACUUGCUUUUUCGAUUGUUCCUGUGUAUUUUAGAGUUAUGGGGUUGGAAUCAAAGAUAAGCUCUGGACAUGGAAAACGCUGUAAGAAAUUUAUCUUUGCUUGCCCUAAACUUUGUUAUUUUUUUUUUUCUUUUAAUAUUAUUAUCAAGUGGAGAUUGAGAUUUUCAAGAUUUAGUUUUCUUUUCUUUUUUUUUUUUUUCUAAUUUGUCCAAAAGGUAAAAUUUAAGAAGAAAAAGGAAAUUCUAGAAAUGAAAAAAAAAAAAAAAUUGAGAUUGUGAAUGAUGAUGAUGCUGCUACAUUCAUGUUUUCCACUUCAAAUAUGUCUAUCUUUCCAAUAUUGUAAUUUUCUUUUCAUUUUUAAAAGUAUAAAAUAAACUUUUAGUCCUUUAACUUUUAUUUAUUUUCACUUUGGUCCUCAUACUUUUUAAAUUUUGAAUUUUGGUCCUUCAACAUCUUUUUUUUACCAUAACUUUCUAUUUUGGUUAUUCCUUCUCAAUAUCUCAAAUUUUAGUUCUUUAGGUCUCAUUUAAUGUCUCAAUUUUACUUUCUAUUCUUGUUCUUAAACACUUCAUAUUUAAUCUCUUCUUUUUCCUUUUUUGUUUGUCUUCUAUUUCAAAAGUUUUAUAUCUCAAUUCCAUCUCCAAAUUUCUAACUUUUUCAAAUAUUCCUUUUAGUUUCUCACCUUUUUUAAGUUUAAAAUAUCGAAAAUUCAAACCUCUAAUCUUUUGAUCGACAAUAUAAUAGAUAAAUUUUAAUUGUUUGAGUUAUCUUCAAGCUAUGGUGUCAACUCUAGUUAUGUUUUCAAAAGUCACAUGACUUAGUUUCAAGCAAAUGUAUUGAUACAUGCUAAAGUGAAUUUUGUUUAAUAGUAAUCAACAUAAUCUUACUCUAACAUGAAAGUUCAAUCUCUCCUCCUUAUAGUUAUUGCAUUAAAAAAUAUGUUAAUACAUUAUUGACACCGAUAGAUUUAGUAUAGGUCUAGAGACUUCCUUUAACGGUCUCAGAGCCAACUUAGAUGUCAAUAGACUAAUUUUACUUUUCACUACUAGACCAACUCAUAAUAGUCUAGUGAAUUAGACCUACUCCUCUCUAUAUUCACACAUAUAUUUCAUAACAUUUUAAAAUGAAAUAUACGUCAUAAGUGGAAGUAAAAGUCUUAUACUUCAUAUUCAUCGUGACAAAAAACAAGUUAUCACUCGGCUACUUUUAGUCCUUAAAUAAUAAUUUAAAAGAAAACGUAAAGAUAUAGAAGUAAAAAAAUUGUGGAUGAUGGUAGGAGCUGAAAAAAAUUAGGAUCUUAAAGAAUAGGAAAACGCAUAUUGUGUCCACAAUUCUCAAAGAAAUUAAUAUAUAUGCUUUUAAAUUCUAUUUUGGUUUUUAAACUUUGUAAAUUGUUCUAUUUUUACUCGUGAAUUUAAAGGGUUUGUUUUAAUUUUCAAACUAAAAAAAAUGUGGUUAUUAUGCCUAUCUCAUUAAUGGCUUCCAUAUUUAGAGGACUAUGAUGCAAAUAAUUUGUUUUAAUUUUUAAUUAAAGACUAAGUAAUAAAUUAAUGUUUUAUGGACGAACUCAGUGUUAAGGCAUAAAUGAUUUAUAGAAUAAAUUAAACAUUUUUUUGUUAUAUAUAAAUUUAAUUAAUACGAUAACCUAGAACCUACUAAUUUAUAUUAAUUUAAUUAAUAUGAUGAAAACAAACCCUUUUAAAAUUUUAGGGACUAAAAUAGAACAAUAUGCAAAGUUUAGAGAUCAUAUGCAACAAAAAAAAUGGUUAACAAAAUUUAAACAACAAAAUAAAAAGAAAAAAGAAAACAAGAAGAUGUCUAAUCAACCCAAAAUUUAGCUUAAUUUAACUGUAAUUUAGAUUUAAAAUCAUUUUGUAGAAAUAAAUUAGGAUAAAAUUUUAAUUUUUUUAACAAAUUUUAUUUUAUGUUUAUUUCUUUUUAUCUGUGGGUAAUUUAGAUAAAUUUUUAUAUUAUUUUUGACCAAAUUGUUAGAAGGUGCAAAUAUAUAUUAUUCAAAUUUCAAAUAUUAAAAAGUUUAAAUUUAUUUUUGUUAAAGAUCUACCAAUUUCUUCGUGGAAAAUAUUUUGGUAAAUCUUUUAAUAUCUAUAGGUUUAAGAUUUUGAGAUUUUUAGAGAUCAAAUAUAUAUGUUUUUUUCUAAUAUCAGUUUCGGUGAUUUUUUUAUUUAAUUCGUAAAUUUGAUAGCAACAAAUUAAAAUUAUUUACAAAAUAUAUUUGAUUUUAUUAUCAAUAAUUUUUUUAUUUAACAAUUUUGACGUGAGAAUCUAUAGAUAAAAUAUGAUUAUUUUAAUACAAAAAAGGUGAAAAUAAAAAAAUAGUUAGAGAUUUUUCACUAUUAUUUAGUUUUUAUUUUUUGUAUCUUUAAAACUACCAAAAUUUUGAAAUGAUUUAAACUACAAUAUUUGUAUAAAUAAUUUUAAAACUACAAAAUCUGUGUAAAUAUUUUUAAAACAAAAAAUAUCUAUCCAAUUUUAUAAUAUUUUAUAAAAUCAUAUUUAAAAAAUAAAUGUAUUUGUCUCCGCCACAUUAAAGAAAGAGAAAAAAAUAAUAAUAAAAGCAGAUUUCAUCGUAUUAAUCCAGAAAUUGAAAAUUUAAUGAAGAAUACAAAAAUUAAAGAAAAAAUAGUGAUCUUUUCAAAAAAGAUAUAACAGCAAAAUUAAAGUCCACGUGUCCAAAUAAAAUACCAAAAAUAUCCUCGAUUAAUUGACUGCCUAAUAUAUUUGAAAAAUAUUUAAAAAACGAUUGUUUGGAUUUUGCGAAUAAUAUAUAAAUCUACAACAUAUGAUUUUACCUUCAUCUCUCUUUUUUCUAUUUUUAAUUUAACGAAUUUAAUGUAAAUUUGGGAGAAAAUGAUGUUUAUAUAAUCUACUCCAUAUCAAUAUUAUCGAUUCGUUUGAUAGUAAAUAAGUCUUUCACUCUCCUCUACCACCAAAGUGAAGUUUUAACUUUAAACUUUUCUUAGGAAUUAUUUUCCACAAAAUUUCUACCUCGGUCGUCCUAUGUGUUGGCACUUGCCUAUAAUAAUAGGUUAAGAUGAUGAAAGAUUAUUUAAUGAAGUUGUUAUCAUGUAGUUGUAGUUUUAAUAUUUGUUUGAUUUCGAUUAAAAUAAAAUGUAAGUUACAACUACUAAUACAAUUUUGAGAUAUUGUUGCAUUUCUUUUUUAUACAUCAAAUUUAAAAAAUUAAAUGAUUCCUCAUAAAUAAUGAGAUUUUUUUUAAAGCAUUACAUCACAUCCACCAAAUGUGUGAGCUCAAACCUAAAAUCUCAAACUCUUUAGAUGAAUUGAGUAUUGAAAUAUUGGGUGAAUAUUAAUGACAAAUCAACUAAAGAUCAUCUUAUUAUUCUUAUUAUUUUUAAGACUCAAUGCUAGUGGAAAGUAAUUUUGGGAGUGAACAAUGAUUAAAAUAAUUUUUAUUCCAAAACGUAUUGUUAAAAGUUGAAAAUUAAUUAUAGUGAUAUAAAAAGGACAUUUAAGUGUAACGUUAAAUAUUGAAUUAAUUUUGAGUGACUAAAGAGAUGUUUUGAAAUUAUUCACCAACUCACUCAAGUGGUUUCCACAAUUUCAAAAUUACUCUUUAAAAUAUACGAAAUAUUUUCAAGAUUCGAGUCCGAAAUAAACAAUCUAACAUAGAAGUUUACGAAUCAUAACAAUCUCAAUCUCAAAUAUAUUUUAAAUAAAUUAAGAGUUUUCAACUUCUUCAAAAAUCAAUAAUUUGCAACCUUACUUAGUAACCCUUUCAAUUUUUUUUUUUUAUAUUUGUAAGUGAUUUUGUUUUCUGUUUGUUAAAUGCAAAUACUAAAGAUUUUUUUUAUUUACAGUUUUCCUUCAUAAUUUUAAAAAUCAGUUUCUUGUUUUUUUUAAAAAAGAAUUAAUUAUCCAAUACAUAUUUUUAAAAUUAAUUUUAAAAAACAAAAAAAACAGAAAAUAAAUGAACUUCCAAUUAAAAAUGAAUUUAGAAAUGGUAAAAAAUAUUCCUUCCUUAUACGCUCUUGAGAGAUGUUUCAAAUGAAUUUUGUUGUUAAUUUUGUUGUUUGUUAUUUCAAUGAGAACAUAAUCCUUGGAAAUCUUAACUGAUUUCUUAAAUUUAUUGACCAAAAUAUUCAAAUUUGGAAGGAUUUUAUUAGAUUUAGUGUUGAAUUACUCAUUUAACCUUCCUAUAUUUAAUUUUUCUAGUAGUAAUUUUUAAUUAAAACUCUUCAUAUCAAAAAAAAAAAAAAAUCAAAUCCUUUUAUUGUCAAAUUUGAAAAUAAUUACUUAAGUUUAAUGAUUUCAAAUAGAGAUAAAAUAAUUUUAAAUUAAGGCGUAAAAACCAAUCUAUAUAUGUUGGAACUUAUAUAACUUAAAGAUAAAAAUUGAAAUUUAGAAGGGAGGAACAUAUUUAUUUUUAAAAUGUUUAAAUGAUGAAUUUUUCCAUUAUUAUUGGAAAGAUAUAUUGUAUAUUUUAAUUAGGUAAAAAUAGUAAAGUUUUCUUUUAUAGUUUUUGCAAACUUACAAUUUGAAUUAAAAUUUAAAAAAAAAAAAGAAAAAGAAAAAGAAAAAGAAAAAGAAAGAAAGUUAUUCAAUGAAAUGUGAAAAUAGAGAGGUAGACUCAUUAUUCUAUCAUACAUUAUUCACAAGGGAGUCAUUAAUUUGCAUUGUUGAAAAUUGAAUUUAAAUAUAUAGCUACCUAACCUCUCUUUUCAUGGAAAAUAAAUUUAUAUUUAUAUUUACAAAUUAAUGUGCUUAAUUAAUUAGUUAGGUUUCUAUCUUUCAAAAAGAUGUAUAGCUUAUUACCACUAAAGUUAACCUUCUCAAGUCUGAUGCUUUCAUCUCUCUCACCCUAUAGUAUUCAGCUAAAAGAAAAGACUGUGAAAGUCAUCGUUCAAUUCUUGCACUUUUGGAUCAUAUCACAAUGUUUCAUUCUUUUUAUGAUUUUAUUUUGAAUAUUGGGUGUGAGUGAAUAAUUUUUUUAUAAUAAUUUAAUUUACCUAUUUUAGGCCUUGAUUUAAAAGAUUGAAUCAUCAACAUUUGAAAUAAGUAGUGUAGUAUAAAUUUUAGGACAAAUUAACUAUGUUAAUUAGAGUCGAAAGCUAUUCUAAAAUAGAGUGAAUAGGUGGGAUGAGUCUCUCCCUGCCUUAUUCAAUGAGGGAAUUUUAAAUCAUUUAUAUUGUGCAAUAUGAUAAUAUGAUAGCUAUUCUACGAUGAAUGAGUCUUUGAUUUUUUUUCUAUUUUGAAAAAACUUCAUUAAUAUUUUCACAAAUAGGUUCUCCCCCUCUCUCUCGAAAUAAAUAUUAUUUCAUAAUAAAAAUAAAUUGGAUGAUUAUAUUAGGUAGCAUUGUUAGGUAUAAUAACAAUUUUUUAAAGAAUUUUACAUGUAGUAAAAUAUAUCAAUUAUGGGCUCUUUUGUUUGUAGAUUUCUACCACUAAUAUAUUUCGAGAAAUUUUCUAAAACGUUUUAUGGUUACUAGUACUUUUGGUUUGUGUAUUAUAUCUCCUAUUGUCACUAAAAGUAUUUAAUUCUUAAUAAGUCUUAAAAUUUAUCUCUAAACCUAAGUUAUGGUUUUCUUUAAAGAAAUAAAAUAGCGUAUAUAGUCAUUUUACCAAAGUGAAUGGAAGAUAAACUUGAAGUGAAUAAUGAUAACUAAUUUAAAGAUUUGUAGGUCAUUUAAGAGUCUAAAAAACUCGUAAAACAAACUUGAAAGUACAAAAUCCAUAAAUGGUAAUUUGACAAAAAAAAAAUGUUAAUGAAAAAUAUUAAUUUUAAUCCUAGAUUUCCAAAAACAUGUGACUGAAUUAUAUUACAGAGUGGUGAAAUUAAACCAAUUACCUAUCUUUUUAAGCUAAACAAUUAGAAGAUUUCCUAUGAAUUAAUCAACAAAACACUCAAACUCUGCCAUAUAAAUGCCCAAAUCCAACUAUAUAUUAAACCUUGCCAGAAGCAAUAAAGUCAAUUAAGUAAAAAGUGUUCAUAAGCUUAUAACUAAAUAUUAAAAGAAUCAAUACUCAUCUUUGAACUUACUUAAACCAAGAAAGAAAUAAUAAUUAAUGUUCAAACAAACUUUAAGAUAACUUAUAACAUAAUGGCAGAUAAUUGGGCUUGGGUCAAACUUAUCUUGUGAGGAUUUGGCUUCAAAUCAGGUGUCCAUUCUACUUAAAAUUAGUAACAAGAGAUGACUUCAUAUAUAGAGCGUUUCGACCAUGAGAAUUUAUGUUUACAAUCAUGAAAGUCGGAACAAUUGAGUUAAACUUGUGCCUAACAAAGAGAGAUGCUUUGGAUAAAACUAUUGUGAUGCAUAAUAUCAUGAAUGAAAUCAACAAAUUCAUGAACACCAUUAACAUAUCUUGCUUUUCUUAUCGAGAGGUAUUGCAAAUGAUGUAGGAAUAUACUUUUGUAAAAAGAGGGUAUAUGUCAACUUCAAGGACUUUAGAAAUGCUUUCACAUACGAGUUAUGUGACCUCGAGAAGUUCAGUUGAUUCAAUCAAGAAAUUGUGACUUUCGAUAGCAAGAAGCGUCAUCUUUAAAGUCACGAACAAUAGCUCAAAAACUCCCAUCAACAUCAAUGGUAGUCAUAUUCACUUUUGAAGAAACAAAGAGAAGGAAAGACCUCCAUUCACACUUAUUUGAGGAGAGGAUUAUCAUGUUUCUCAGUAAUUGUUUUCCAAUUAAUUGACAAUACCAAAUACAAAACUCAUCUAAUAGGAUAUGAGAAUUGAGACGAGGGAGUACUAAAAACUUGAAAAUUAUGCCUUCAACAAGUCAUUGAAGUCAUAAGACAGAAAACUUCUAUAUCCAUCGAGAACAAACUCACAAACCAAACAAAAUAAAAAGGAAAACAACAAAUUAGUAUAUGAAAAUGAUCAAAACUACAGUGAAUUAUAAAUUUGGUUUGAUUUUUCAGAGUAAAUUAUACAUUUUUGCUUUUCAAGUAAAUUCUUUUGUUUCAUGAUUUUUGUUAGUUUCUUUUAAUAUCUCGAUUAUUUUGUGUUUGAUAUUUGUCGUAGUAACGAGAAGUUUUUCCAAACACUAAAUAGGAUACAUUCAUUAUCAAUUUUUGUCCACCCAACAAAUAUUUAGCAUUUUGAGGAGAUAUGACAAAAAGUGAUUUAAUUUGUUAUGAAUAAGACAACAUAACGAAGAAGAAAAUUUUGUCCAACUUAAACAUAACAAAAUUCAUUAACUUUUAAGUGUUAAUAAACUACAUAACUUGUGGUUCGAAUUUUGGCGAAACAAAUGAGGAAUUGUUUGUAUAUAUAUACCCUUUGGGUGGCCAUCACUAUCUAAGUCUUUAGUCAUUUCCAACCAAACAUGGGUUGCAUUUUGUAUUAAAUACAAUCGUUUACAAAUCAAUGAGUUAUAGAUUGUGAAAAUCCUUUUUAAAGAUUUUUAGGUUAUAAUUAGAAGCCAAUUUUAAGUGGAAAUAGUUGCACACAUCAUAUGAAUAAUAUUUUAUCAUCUCAUAAUUUAUGGGCCAACUAAAAAAGGUAGAGAUAAAGUAGGAUUAUGCUCUUUAUUUUGUAUCAAGUUUUUCUUUUCUUUUUUUUAAAAUAAAAUUAAUGAUAACAAGUUGUUUACAUUAAUCAUAAUUUUUUCUUUUCUUAAUCGGAUCAUCUACAACUAUCUUAUUAAAUUAAAGUGCAAUUUAUCAAUUCAUCCUUUAAUUCGACUUAAAUUACUAGAAAUUCAAAUAAUCUACAAUCUCUUUAAUAUAGUUUAACUAAAUAGAUUAAAUAUAUACUUUUUAUAUAUUUAAGAGUGAAUAGUUGUUUCUUGUAAAUUACUUAUAAUUAUUUCAAUUAAAUUUAAAUUAUACUUUUAUAUAUUUGAUUUAUUUACCGAUAUUUUGUUGUCCAGAUUAAUUGGUGUGUCAUUUUUUUUUAUCUAUAGAUUUUGAUUAUAAAAUUUGAAAAUACAUUCCUAUAUAAAAUUAUAAUUAUUAUUUAAUCAAUUUUAUAAAAAUUAAAUUUAAAAUAUCUUAUGAUUUAAAUCAUCUAAAAGAUUGUUAUAAAAAAAAUAAAAUGGAAAUAAUUGGAAAGGCAACACGUAUCCAUUUAAUUGAUCACUUUAUCCACUUCCACUACAUCGCGAAGUUCAGACACCCGCCCACCGCCCACCGCCAUGAGCCUACCUUCAAAGCUUCUCCAACCUCCCCCAACUAUUCCCUACACGCGUCUAUCCACCUCCCCCCGCCCAUUUUUCUGUCAUUGUCUUCAUCCAUCCACCCCAAGCAGCCGCGGAGGAGGAAGAGCGUUCCCACUUCCCGGAGUGGCCUCCCUCCCGUAUCAACCCAUCAAUGUCGAUUAUUUGGAAGAAGAAUUCAACGGUCAAGGGCAUGGAGUAACAUUCGAAGGAAUCGGCGAUGAGUGUCUUGCCAAAUUGCGAUUAGAAAAUGGUGGUUCUGCGAUUCUUAUGUUCCCGAGCGGAUUAAUUACCUCCUAUAAAUCUCCUAUGUGGCAUGGAGGAUCUCUAGAGCUGCUUCAUUCUUCGGUAUCUGAGGAUAAAAAUGGCGAUGUUGUUGUUCAAGGAGGCGUAUCCGUUGCCCUAGACUAUGGGACUCAUCGACUGGAGGAUGUUUCUUGGGAUCUUCAUAAUGUUGAAGGAAAUCCUCGCGAAUCGAUUCAGGUUUUGAUCAUGGUUUAAUUGUUUUUAUGCAUUCAGAAACUUAAUGCUCUCUUCUGAUUGAUUUAGUCACAUCUCAUCUUAUGAUCUUACUUCCUGUCUGAUUGUUCUUCGUUUUGAACUCUUGAGUUGACCUUGAUCUUUGAUUUCAACUUUUUGAAGUAUGAAUUUGUUCCAUGACGAACUUUCCACAUUCAGUUUUGAAAUUAUAUAAGUUUGUUGAAACAAAUACUCUAAACGAACGGAAAAUGAUUUGAUUGAUCUAAAUGGAACAAACUUAAAAAGUUUUAGGAUUGAAAAUUAGAUUUAGGACAUGUUUGAAAUGAUGAAUAUAUAAUAAAGCUUAAUUGUAAAGCAAAUAACUGAGAUGAUAAAUGUGAGCUAAGGUGAAAUAAAUUUGUUGAAUUAUUGGUGAACUCCAACAUUGGUGGAUUUUUUCUACCCAACUUAGUUACCAAACGCCUCCUUAGAAAGUAGUUUGGUUUAAAAAGCUAAAAAAUUAUUCCUUUUCGUUCUUACAUUUUGAAUCUAUUUUCCAUUUGGCUCUUUGGUUUCAUAAACCAUAACGUUACAUUUCUUUCCUGAGCCUUGAGUUACUUUCCAUUUGAUUCCUAAAUUUCAUAAUAUUAUAAUUUUACCUUUCAUCUUUGAAUUUAAUUGUUAUUUGGUUUCUUGGUUUCAAUUAUUUUACACUUUUACCACUAAUGCUCACUUUUUUAUCUUUUUUAUUUUUAAAAAUUAAUUUCCAAUUAUAUUUUAAAAACUAUGGUGUAAAAUUUUAUACUUGAGAAAAACUAGUGAAAAUUAAUGAAAUUCUUUUCCAAUUAAUUAAUAGACAUUAAUAUAGGAAUGCAAGUGAUUAUUGAGUGAAAAAUCAAGGGUAAAAAUAUAAAUCUAGAAACCCAAUAACCAAAUGGAAACAAAACUCAAAACUCAAAUAUAAAAAUGCAACAUUAUGAAACCUAGUAACUAAAUGGAAAAUUAAAAUAAAAACUGAAUAGUAAAACUAUCCAUUUUGAGAUAUUGAGACUAACUAUAGAAACUACACUCAAAACUAAGAAUGAAGAAUCGAAAGGGUAUAUUUCUCUUCUUUUUUUAAACACGUAAAAAGUCUUUUCAAACCAAACCUAAACGAUCAUGUUUACUGACAUUUAUUUUUUCACUUACCUCACAGAUUGAAUUGAUAAGCAGAGCUUUAGAAGGCAUGGUAGAGUUGAAAUACACAGUAACACUUGGAGAAGAUGUGUUAACAUCAGAAUUAACAGUGUGCAACAAUAACCAAACAUCUCUUGAAUUGAAAGGCUAUAUUUUAAGUCAUAUGACUUUGAGUACUCCUGAGGCAACUUUUGCUAUUGGUUUGGAAGGUUCAAAUUUCCAUAGCGUGCCACCAUUUUCAUCAAAUCAUGCCAUUAUUCCUCCAGAUUGUAGCUCUGGGUUGACUCAAAGACUCAAAGGGAUUGUUUCUGGUUGGGGAAAAAGCAGGGAAAGAGAGAGUGGAGAGGAGAUUGAGGGUGAAGAGAUGGACAACUACAAGCAAUUGAUGGACCAAAUGAGUAGAAUCUACACUAAUGCUCCCAGGAACUUCACAAUCAUAGACAGGGUAAGAACAUUCUUCUUCUACUAUAAUCUAUGUUGGGUAGUUUCUCCACUUUUGAGAUUUUCUUCAUUUUUUAUUACUAAACUCUUAAAUUGUUGGUUUAGGUUUUAUGAACUCUUUUUAGUACAAGUUGGAUACUUUCUCAAUCUCUAGGAUGGAAGGUCAUUCCAAGUACCGUUGCACUAAGAGAGUUGAGCUCACUUUUGCUGUUUUUUUCAACUAAUCGGUUUCUUCCUUUUCGGUUUCUAAUCUUUAGUUAUGAAGACUAAAGUUGUGAUUUAACUUUUAAUAUUUUCAAGACAAAAAAGAUAUUUUAAAAUUUUUUAAACUUGAAAGAUAAGAAGCAUAGACAGUUCGGUUUGGAUAGUGUGUUCGUGUUCAUGUCCGUGUCCAACACUUGAACACUUUGACACUUGGUGGAAAUCUCUUGGAUACUUGCUAGUGCAACAAAUGUAUUAGACAUGCUUGAAACACCCGUUGAGUAGACUAAAAAGACACAUAUAUGACAAUAAUAAUAACUUAUGAACAUAGAAUAUAUCAAGCUAAUUCUUUUAAGCAUAUAAAUGAAUCAAUUUUCUUUUACUAUGAAAAUGUAUAUAUAUAUAUAUAUAUAAAAUGAAUAUUUUAAUAAAAGUUUCCUUGUUGUGUCGUGUACGUGUUCGUGAUUCUCAGUUUGAAAUCCAAAAAAAUAGAUAUUUAAAAAUAGAAAGUUUGAGGACCGUAAAGGAGCAUUUUAAAUAAUUUUUUCUAGAAAAAGGAUUUAAAUCCUAUUUCGGUCUAUAUAUUUAGCUUUGAUUCAUUUGGGUUCUUGUUCGUUCAAAAGAUAUAUUUUGAUGUAUGGUUGGCAGUAAUUGAGUAAUUUAUGUGAUGAGAUUGAGAUGAAAUAGGGAAGGAGAAACUCAGUGGUGGUAGGGAGAGAAGGAUUUGAUGAAGUGUACAUGUUGAGUCCAGGAUCAAAUCAUGUGUACUAUGGAGAAUAUUCAUAUGUAUGCAUUGGCCAUUCAGCCAUGCUUAAACCAAUACUCUUGCAACCUCAACAACUAUGGAGAGGAUCUCAAUAUUUGUACAACCCAAAUCUCUAGUCCUUUUAUCUUCAUUCCAAAAACUUCCUCCCAUGGAUAUCUCCAUAUUCUCAUUCAUUGAAAACAUCUUUUUCUUUUUAUAUAAAUAAUAACAUUAUUAGUUUUUGUAAUUUUGACCUCAUUUCAUUUCAGGCUGAAUGGUAUAAACUACCCUUGAAGUCCAAUCAUUCUUGUAAUCAUACUAUUCAAUUUUCAUUAUCUCGAUACUUCCUUCGAUACUUUUCACAUAUUAAUAAUUUGCCAACCCUUCAACUCUUCAGAUAACAAAGAAAUUAAGCCUCAAAGUUACAUUGUACAAACAAGUUGCAUGGCCAUAGCCAAGCUUCUAAGUUUGUGUACUUCAUUUGUUGUUCAAAUCAAAAAUAAUAAUAAUAACUAAAAAAAACUUUUUGGUUGAGCUAAGUACUCUAUUCAAACUAAAUGUUACAACAUCAAUCUAGAAAGCGAGCAUAUUCUAUAAUUUGCAAAGGUAGAAAGAUACCUAUUGUAGUCAAGAACUUCAUUGACCACACUGGGAUUCUUACAUUGAGUCAUUGUCUAAAUCCAUCUAAUCUAAUACAUUUGCUUUUGCUUCAAACUUCUAUAUGCCUUUCUUGCUACUUGACACAACAUUUGAACUCAACAAAACUUACAACAAACAGCUUCAACCCAAUUUUAGUUGAAGCACAACAAGAACAUUAUGUUGGUACAAGAUAGGAACCUUGGUCGUGAUCAUCAAUCCAUAGCAAUGAAGUGAAUAUUGUAAAAAGCAAAAAUGAAAAGCCACAUACCAAUUUCAAAGCAGUCUUCUUAUAUGCCAUCUCCAUGCCAUAAUAUUGAGGUUUCAUUUUACUUUGACAAGCCACUGCCACAGGUAUAGCUUGGACAUCAACAUGGGUAGGGGCACCAUCGGCUGAAGAGAUCGAUUCGUAACUACCUUGUGAUUGCUCACCAUUACCGUUGCCUAAGCCAUCUUCAUCCUCUUUGCUGAGUUUUGGUUCAUCGGCAAAACCGUUUUGAUUUAGAAAUGCUCUUGGAGGACUCCACUCCAAAUUCCCUGAUGACAAACUCCUAUGCCUACAUCGGCUACUUCCGCUAGCAUAGUCAGAUUUCCCCUCGUUUAGAUCCUGAAGGGAAUGGACAAGCUUCCGAGGCGUUUUGAAGAUCAUAUCUUCAACAUUAAUGUAACUACGAGACCGCUGAAGUACACAAGAUAGGAAAAAUUGGAAUAAGCUAUCUAAUAUUAUAGGACUAAACCAGAGUUUGUGUCCAAGCAUUAAUAUCGUCAAUGUAAAGGAAUUGAUAUGAACCAAAUCCCCAUCGAGAUAUAAAUGAAACCGAAAGGAACUUCAUUCUACAAGGACGAGCCUAAAAGACUUAGCAAUGUGGUUUAAAUGUAUAAGAAUACUGAGAAAAUAGGCAUAUAUGGAUAGUUAGCUAAGAGAACUUACAAGGGGGCUGGUUGUAGUGCUUCUUGAAAGUCUGCGUCUAGGAGGACUCAUUUGAAAAAACCCUGAAAAAUCAUCUGCAUAUUCUUCACCAUUAUGGCCAAAUUUGUGACUUCCAGAGUACAUAGACAUGGUGUCGGAAACGUCAGUUCCACGAGUAACUUCCGAGAACAAAGACAAGCCAUCCUUGAGUGAUAUAUCAACCCCACCAUUCUCGUAACUCCAAAGUUUACGAUUCACACUCCUACGAUCAAAUCCUGAGUUACGUGAAGCUUGUCUUGAUGAAAAAGGUGAUCCUACAAGCGAGCCGUAAUCGAAGAACGAAUCAAGGGUCUGGGAUUCUGGAGAUUCAGAUGAGGGAGUUCGGCUUCCACCAUUCCUCCAUGGACUUCUUCUCCUAUGAUCAAGGAAGUUCGAUCCCGUCACGGAGCUUGGAGAUUUGUCCAUUUUCGACCCUUUAUCAGCCAAUAUUUUCUUAGCUGUUUGCAAAGUUUCAAAAGCUGCACCUUUGACAUAAGGCAUUUGAUCAGACUGACAAUUCUCCAUCUCCUCAAUUAUAGACUGAAGCUCCGAAAAUAUACUCCAAGGAUCAAGACAUCUCAUCAAGAAGUUAAUCAUUUGAAUGGCAGACAGUCUUUUCUGAGAAUUUUUCUCCACAACCCCACACUUCAAUAUUCGCAGCCCAGCCUGCAGCAACAAUCUAGCAUACGGUUCAACAAUCCGAGGAUUCCGCUUAGCUAGUGUCAUAACAAGCCCCAUGUGUGAAUUCGUUUGUGUAGAUUUCUCCUCCAAAGCUCCAGCAACAUUCUGGCAAACCUUAUUAACCAUCUCAUCGGAAGCAAACCGCCAGUUAUCCGAGUCCACCAGAGCCUUCAAGCAGAGGGCAGCACCAGCAGUGAGGCUCUCUUGAGAACCCAACAAAGAUUCCGAGAGCGGAUUACAAAGAGAAUAAAUCACAUGCUUCUUCUUAUCAUCAGGAGUGGUGGGAUCGAUCCCGUAUCUUGCAAUCGCCGGAACAACUUUAGAGCAAGCUUGUUGAAGAGGGAAAGAGCCAGCACUUGAAGCCAAAGUCUUGAUAAUGGAAGUCAUAAUCCGAUCAAUCUGCGGCACAAUAUUGACACCGUGAACACGAGCUAGAACUUCAUAAAGAGAAAUUGUACAUUCCCCAUUUAAAGCACCAGUUUCUUUGUUUUCAGAAACUUGAGCAAGAAAAACAGGGAUAGCCUUGGAAUCUAAUUCCUUCACAUAAGUUUUCAAUGCCUUCAUCGCGGAUCUGCGACUAUCAGCAUCUUUAUCAAGAUUAGCAAACUCCCGCCGAAGCAUUGGACUCAAAUUUUUGCUCAUAAAAGAUCUGAAAGAAAUCAAAACAACAAAAAAAAACCAAACGGUUCAGAUUAAAAGAACUACCAGACAGUAUCACUCAAGAAUUUAAACGAACAGCUGAUGGGCACCUCAAAGAUGCAAAAACCCAAUACUAAAUCUGAACAGACGAGUUGAAGAAACAGAAAAUAGAAGCAAAAAAAUUAAAGGGGUUUUGGUUUCAUCAGAGCAAAAGGGUAUCGGAAAAAAAGGAGAAAAUCGAAGAAGAAGAGAAAAAAAACCAAUUAUAAAUCUGUACAAGAGAUUGAAGAAACAUAAGAUGGAAGCAAAAUAUGAAAUGGUUUAGGUUUCUGAGCAAAAGGGUAUCAGAAAAAGAGCAGAAAAUGAAAGAAAUAAAAACCCAAUACUAAAUGUGCACAAAAGAGCUGAAGAAACAUAAAAGGGAAGCAAAAUAUGAAAUGGGUUUUGGGUUGUGAGGAAAAAAAGGCAGAAAAUCGAAUGAACAAGAGAAAAAGGAAAGAAUACCUUUGAGUUUCUGAGAUUGCUUUCAUGGCGUUGAGACUUGAGAGAAGUAUGAGCAGAAAUGGAAAGAAGAAGAUAAGGAGGAGGAGGAAGA
rnacentral:lncRNA from 1 species